rnacentral:lncRNA from 1 species
AACUUCCCAACUUUUCUCUCUCCCCUUUGUGAUCGCUCUCUUUUCUCUCUCUCUCCUCCUUGUACGGAUCUUUAUCUUAGAAAAGACUAAUCCCUCUCUCCAUCUUUUUACAAUGGAAGCGACCGACCUGUACUGAAAACUCCCUCUCUUCUCCAAUGAAAGGGACUAUACUUUAAAUUAUUGCCACCUGCUAGGAUAAGCCUAUCAUCUCUUCCAAAAAACGAAGGGAAAAUAUGGCUAUCACACAUUGGACACAAAAAUUCAGCUAAGAAUACCUGUUAGACAGAAAAAGACAGAUUGCCACUUAUCCGUCACGCCCUUUCUUAUUUUGGUUUGGUUUUCUAUCCUCUCUCUCUCUUCCAUUUUCAACUUGGUUUUACUCUUUCGCUCUCCUCUACUUUCAACUUGGUUUCUCUCUUCUCUCUCUUCAACUUGGUUCUGCUCUCUCUCUCUCUCUCUUCCAUUUUCAAUUUGGUUUUACUCUCUUUCCUCUACUUUCAACUUGGUUUUACUCUCUCUUCAACUUGGUUUUGCUCUCUCNNNNNNNNNNNNNNNNNNNNNNNNNNNNNNNNNNNNNNNNNNNNNNNNNNNNNNNNNNNNNNNNNNNNNNNNNNNNNNNNNNNNNNNNNNNNNNNNNNNNNNNNNNNNNNNNNNNNNNNNNNNNNNNNNNNNNNNNNNNNNNNNNNNNNNNNNNNNNNNNNNNNNNNNNNNNNNNNNNNNNNNNNNNNNNNNNNNNNNNNNNNNNNNNNNNNNNNNNNNNNNNNNNNNNNNNNNNNNNNNNNNNNNNNNNNNNNNNNNNNNNNNNNNNNNNNNNNNNNNNNNNNNNNNNNNNNNNNNNNNNNNNNNNNNNNNNNNNNNNNNNNNNNNNNNNNNNNNNNNNNNNNNNNNNNNNNNNNNNNNNNNNNNNNNNNNNNNNNNNNNNNNNNNNNNNNNNNNNNNNNNNNNNNNNNNNNNNNNNNNNNNNNNNNNNNNNNNNNNNNNNNNNNNNNNNNNNNNNNNNNNNNNNNNNNNNNNNNNNNNNNNNNNNNNNNNNNNNNNNNNNNNNNNNNNNNNNNNNNNNNNNNNNNNNNNNNNNNNNNNNNNNNNNNNNNNNNNNNNNNNNNNNNNNNNNNNNNNNNNNNNNNNNNNNNNNNNNNNNNNNNNNNNNNNNNNNNNNNNNNNNNNNNNNNNNNNNNNNNNNNNNNNNNNNNNNNNNNNNNNNNNNNNNNNNNNNNNNNNNNNNNNNNNNNNNNNNNNNNNNNNNNNNNNNNNNNNNNNNNNNNNNNNNNNNNNNNNNNNNNNNNNNNNNNNNNNNNNNNNNNNNNNNNNNNNNNNNNNNNNNNNNNNNNNNNNNNNNNNNNNNNNNNNNNNNNNNNNNNNNNNNNNNNNNNNNNNNNNNNNNNNNNNNNNNNNNNNNNNNNNNNNNNNNNNNNNNNNNNNNNNNNNNNNNNNNNNNNNNNNNNNNNNNNNNNNNNNNNNNNNNNUAUAUAUAUAUAUAUAUAUAUAUAUAUAUAUAUAUAUAAAAGCUCCCUUCAGCCCAUGGGCUCAUGGAACAGUGUAAGCCCAACGGCCCAGAUUGAAUCUGGACUGAUCCAAUGAUCACAAUUGUAUUCUAGUAAUUGGAUUUUAAUUUUUUUUCUACAAAUCUAAAUUAUUUGAAAUUUGGAGCGUUUAUUAUUCAAGAAUAGUUGAAUCUAAUAAAAAUAUCAAAAAAAUAAUUCACAUAAAUUAAAUUCACCAAAAUACGCCCAAAAUUUUUUGGAGGUAUUUAAGUUAAUUUAUUUUAUGUAAAUUAUUUUUUAAUAUUUUUUUACGUGCACCUUUAUGAGAAGAGUUUAUGCUCCAAAUUUUAUAUUCAUAUGAUUUGUAUAAAAAAAACUAAAAAUAAAAUACAUUGAGAUGUCGGAUCUAAGAUCAAACAGCGAGUGGCUCUCUUCAUCAAAAUUGGAUGGCUGGAUGGUAGGGGAAGCAUAGAUCUUCUAUGAUGUAAGAGAAGUAUAGAAACCUUUCCAUAUAUAUAUAUAUAUAUAUAUAUAUGGAUAUGGUGCUCCAUCAUCUAAGAGAGAGCUACACUGCAAGUUCAAUUCAGUUUCUAUAUUAUUAUUAUUUUUACUGGGUGUUGUUUGCAUAAGGUUGCAACCUUAAACAAUUAAUUUAAGGUGCACCUCCAAACUUUGUCACGAGAUUCAAUUUUCGUGUCGAAAAUUUUAGGAUAUUGUGAGAAUCUAUUUUUAUCUCUAAUUACAAAAUUUUAAAUCUAAAAAAUGGUUCAAAUCAAGUAGAUCUAUAAACGCAUGAAGAUCUUCAAAAUAGGCGGUCUUGAUAAUGUGUUACAAGACGUACUAUUUUUACGACUUGAAAUCUUUUUUUUUUCUCCAUAUCCACAUAUCGCGAUGUCGAAAUGAUCAUUUUGAUGUUUUCCCAACAUCAAUACAACCUUUCCUUGUACCUUAAUUCUACAUUUUAAAGUGUCAACCUUAUAUAAUUUUUUUUUUUUUUAAUGGAAAAUGUCCUUGCUGUGCUUCUCUCUCUGGUGUUCCAUCUUUUAGGAGAGCUACAUUUCAAUUCCACUUCAAUUUCUAGUUUUUCUUUAUUCAUGGAGAAUACCUUGAAUGUGAAAAAUAAAAGGAAAGUUUGGUAUUAAACAAGUCAUGCUUACAAUGCAUCAACUCUUGAAUUCUUAUCUCUCUCUCUCUCCAGGUGGAGUUUAAUAUCUGGAAGGCUCCCAAAUAGACAAGCAGCAGAAGUGGAGAGGUACUGGAUGAUGAGAAAGAAACAAAAAGAGUUGGGCAAAAGAAUCUUCAAGCCAAUUUGUCAUAGACUGAGGCCUCCUCCAAGAAAGGGUUAAAGAGACAUGGUUUAAAAUAAUAAAGACUUGGUGGUUCCCAAGCAAUGGUGGCUUUUCUGUUGUUCUUGUUUCUCUAUGAGAGUCUUCUGAUCUCAGUGCUUGGAAAAACCUGGUUUAUAAAUUCUCCAAGUCUUUUAACUUUCAUUUAAACCUCUCUCUCAAUUACUAUAAAUUACUAGCAUUUCACACUAAAAUCCAAAUAUAAGCUACAUUUUGAAAGGUUAAGACCUAUGUAACAUGAACAUCUGCAUCUAUCGUUUUGGCACAUAGCAUACAAUGUGCAACAGCUGUGUCAGAUGCUUGACAAAUUUAAAAACUUUUUUCUUUAUCAAUGGCACAACCACUCACACUCACACAGGUUUGUGAGUGUUGCAGGUGUCUAAUGUAGUGACCUUAAAAACUAAUACAACUAAACACAUAUAUACAUGAAACACAUAUGCCAGACUUGUGUAGUGGAUAUUAAAAAUAAUUUUUAAUGUGCAACAGCUGUGUCAGAUACUUGACAAAUUUAAAAACUUUUUUCUUUAUCAAUGGCACAACCACUCACACUCACACAGGUUUGUGAGUGUUGCAGGUGUCUAAUGUAGUGACCUUAAAAACUAAUACAACUAAACACAUAUAUACAUGAAACACAUAUGCCAGACUUGUGUAGUGGGGUGCACCUACAAAAAAAUAUUAAAAAUAAAUUUUGAUAAAAUAUAAUAAUCAAAAUACCCCUUGAAACGGUUAACGGUAUUUUGAUCAUUUUAUUUUAUUAAGAAUAUUUUUUUGGUAUAUUUUUAACAUAUACAGAUUUAAUAGAGGAUUGGACACCCAAAAUUUGGUUUUAAAAUAUUUUAUAUAAAAAAAUAAAAAUAAAAUAAUAUAGAGAUAUGACAUUGUGAUUGAGACCUUAACUCUCCAUUCAGAAUGGAUGGUUAGAUAAAGGGUUGUACAUAGGUUUUAUGCUGAAGGAGAAGCAUAGAAAACAUGCCCUUCCUUUAUUGAGAUGCAACACACAGUUUUAGGGGUACAAGUUUCCGACUCUCUAAUCCAUUAGUAUACCAAUAAUGUAAAUUCACAGCACACCAAACCCCUCUCUCUCUCAAUUACACUGAACACACCGAACCUAUCUCUCUCAUACAAACAUACAUUCUGAACAAGAGAGAACUUUUACUAAUAACUAGGGGAGGCAACGGGUGGGCCAGGCCCUGCCCAGCCCAAGAAAACUAGAACCUAUGCCAUUAAAUGUAGCCUGAGUGUAGGCUUGGGACAGGAUUGGGCCAGGGCAGGCCUAGCCCGACCUUUUUUUCCUCUAUACUUUUCCUUUAUUUUUCUUUAAUUUUAUUUGGUCAGGUCAAAGUCGGGCUAGGCUUCAACCAACCCUAUGAGGACUAGGGCCACGAUAAAACCAUGGGUGGCCCGGCUGAGGCCCCACCCCCACAAUCCACCAACCUACCCCUACCCAUUGCCAGCCCCACAAUCCACCAACCUACCCCCACCCCACAAAAAAAAACAAAAAGAAAGAAAAAGGAAAAAGAAAACAAUCCCAUUGUCUUGUGUAUGUUUUUUUUUUUAUUUCAAAUCUCUAUUAACCAAAUAUCAACCCUCACCCAACUGCCAACCUCUUAAAUGAAAUCCUCAUCUUUUCCAGAAAAGAGGUGAAUUUUCUAGCCAAUUUUUCAAAAGAAGGCUCACUUUCCACCAAAUUAUGAAUAGGAAGACCACAUUUCCAACCACAUUACACUUAGCCUCCACUUAUAGGUGGAAUGAUGGCCAAUUCAUCUCCAUUAUUCAAAAUGGUAUUCCCUGGUGCAUAUUCCUUAUUGAGAGCCAAAGCCAUAGAAUCCUUUAUCUCUCUCAAGCUUGGGAACUUGGAGAAGAGCUCGGCUACACAGUCGAGGGUGGUGCACCCGGGCUUGACCGACACAACUGUGUUGGUAAAGCCAGUUAGGUCUCGGGCCCUAGCAAAAAAUAGGACCUUGAUCUCAAUGGAAGGGAGGCUUUUAAGCUUACCUUUUUCAUCCUUGAUUUCUCUUUCUUGUGUCUCUUUGUCUGUGGUCAUGGUAAUAUCCUCCAUGAUCGGUUUCGAAACUAUGGUUAGGUGCUGAAACAGAAAGGUACGGUCAGAUUCAAAAUUAUCAGGUUGAUUACAGUGACCUCAUGUGUCUGAAGUUAGAGAUAAAUCAAUCUAUAAGAGCAGAACGACAGAACAGUUCGGAGUACAGAAUGUUUUUAAAUCCAUCUCAACUUAUGUAUUCUGCAGCGAGACCCAUUCAUAGGAAAAACAAAAUGAAGAUGAAAAACAACCAUCUCUCUCUCACACACACACCAGGCAUGGUGAUGCAUGACUAGGAAAUUUUUCACUCCAAAAAGGAGAUGAGCACAAGCAAGCAUACGCUCGUGCAGCCACAUCUUCAUACUAGCACGAAACGAAAAUGUUCUCUCACAACAGAACACACGAACACACACACACACACAACUCAAGCAGUGGUCCCAUACUCAGAAUGAAUAGGUCAUUUCUCACUCUAGAAAAGAUGCAAAACACAUAGCAGUCAUGGGGCCUGGGUAAACAUGAGGUGACUGUUUCCCGCUUAGGUAGACCCAAAAACACACACAGACAUCAACAUUAAAGACAAAUAAGAGAUUGCUUCUAAUUCUAAAAAGGACACAUAGGGCCAGCAAGUGCCCAACCCAAUAGAUGUAAAAUUCGAUAGCUCUGUUGUAUUAUUUCUCCAUUCAAAGUCAGAGGGAAAUAUUUCAGGAUUUUAAGGGCAAUUAAUGGUACACUUUGAAUUUUCGCUUUCACAUUCAUUAACUGAUCGUGACCUUUUUGCACAGAAGACAAAUAGCCCUAUACUGUACUUUCUUGUCCAAAGCAGUUGCUUGUGAAAUUCAUACAGGUUUUAAUAAUGCCUAAUUAGCUGCAGAAAAUAGCAAUUUUUUCUAAAAUCUAGAGAGCAACACUAAUUCAAUGGUCUAAUUAUUCCUUAAAAGAGGGUUAACAAGGCUUAUGACUGUCGGAUUGAUACCCUACUCUUAAUUCUUAAACGACUUCCUCCAAAGAAAACAAAACCCAUAUCAUUUGGAAAACCUAAAUCUGAAGGAUUUCCAAAAAAUAAACAAAGGAAAUCACAAAUAAAGAUACUUUAAUUUUUUUUUUAAAAAAAAUCAGUUAUGAGUAUCUUCCAUAAAAGAAAUUGAUUAUGAAUAUAUUAACAUAGAGUCCCUAAUCUCCCUAAUCUGACCAUUAUUAUCCAUAACAGCUCACUUCAACAAGAAGAAAAAGUACGCCUAAGAGCCCCAGUUUCAAAGACCUAAGUCCUAAAAAACCCAAAUUUCAAGCAACCUACAUCCUCAAAAAUUGCCAAUUAAAAGAUCAGUAACACUAAAUAACCAAAUCACAAAACUCACCACCCAUAUGAGCCCUAAUUUGGAAGAACCAAUUUCUAAAAACCUCUAAUACUAUUAAUCCUAAUUCUCCACACCCAGUUUCAAAAAAACUCUAAUAGGAAUAUUUCUAACAUUAUACACUGAUUAAAAGCCUUAUUGUAAGAACCACAGACAUGAAUCUUCUUAUUCCUAAUCCAGGAAACUCUGGCCCCAAAAGGCCUAAUUCAAAAAUAAAAAACCCCACAAAAUGAAGGGGUAAGCCCUAAAACAAUAACAUUUUUGAAAAUAUAUGAAGAGUAAAUUUUAGAGGUAAUUUUACAUGCCUUAUUGGGUUAAAUUGUGGGGUCUAAUUUUUAAGUCUGACUGCACUGAGUUCUUUGAUGAAAAUGUCAAGCACAGGGGAUACAUUCUGAUUCUAAUUCACGUUUUCCAUAUUUUCUGUUCUUUAGGAAAUUACUGGAAGGGGCCAGUCUUUCAUCUGAGUGACCAGAUAAUCCGGACUAUCCUAAUCCCAUGUGGGGGAGAAAUAAGUUAAUAUUAUUAGUAAAUUUGAAGGUCAUUAGGGCAAUUUUUCGUGGUUAAGAGAGAGAAAUGCUACCUUAAUUGGUGCAAGUUUGGGAUUUUAUGUUUAAGGCUGUGUUUUGGUAUAAGGAGGUUACUCUCACUCAUAAUUAUCAUAAAUUUUAAAGAGGUGCACCUAAGAAACCCAUUAGAAAAGGUCGUUUCUAUGCUAGAAAACACUCAAAUCGAUCAUCUCAACUCAGAUAUUCAUAGAGUUGAAAAAAUGGGAUUUUCUAGUCCUAAAAAUAAUUCAUCUUCUAACACAUUAUUAGAACCAUCCAUUUUAAAGUGUUUAUAGAUUUGCUUGAUCGUCACAUUUUUUUUAAUUUUAAUUUUCAUAAUUAAAAACAUCAAUAGAUUUUCAUAUCAUCGCAAGGUUUUGUGGCACCAAAAUUGCAUUUUCGGCAUAGUUUUGAGGUGCACAUUACUUCAAUAAUAUAAGGUCGACACUUUAUACAAACCUCACCCUCAAUAUAAACCAUCAUAUUCUAAAUGGUGUGGUUUUUAUAAGGUUGCAGCCUUAAACAAUCCAAUUAAAGCGUACCUUCAAAUUUCACCAUAGCAUGUAAUUUGGUUGUAAAAAAUUCUUAGGAUUAUCUGAAAAUCUAUUUUUAUGUCUAAUUAUAAAAUUUUAAAGUCCAAAAAUGGUUAAAACCAAGUAGACCUAUAAAUCUUGAAAAUGGACGGUCUAGAUAAUGUGUUGCAAGAUGUACUAUUUUUGGGAUUCAAAAUCUUUUCUUUUUCUUCAUAUUAAUACAUUUCUAUGUCGAGAUGAUCAAUUAAAGGGUUUUUCAGCAUUAAAACAACCUUUCUCAUGGAUUUUUUAGGUGCAUUUGAAAUUCUAUAUUUUAAGGUUACACCCUUAUAUAAACUUUUUCCUAUCCUAAAAAUGGGAAGGUAUUUUGUAGCCUGACGUUCUAUAAGGAAAAUAUUUUGUAGCCAGACGUUCUAUAAGGCCGCAUCUCGAAUAUUGCAAUAAAAUAUACUUUUGUAGUGAGAAAAAAUACAUAUCGAUCAUCUGGACAAAUAUAAAUUAAAAAAAGAGAGAUCAAGCUCUAAAAAUGAUCUUAAAUAAUUCAUUUGAAGUGCCUCAUAUCAUUCAUAUUUGCACCAUUUUUUAUCUUCAAAAUUUCAUAGACAAUAGCACAAAUCAAUUUGCAAGCUAUUUCACAAAUGCCGAAAUUGCAUUUUCUGAUAGGGUUUUGGGAAUUGGCUUUACUAUAUAUUAAGGAAAAGUCGUUCAUGAGUCCCUCGGUGCAAGAGUGCACUAACUCACCAACUUGUAAAAAACACUCACAGGGCUUAUACAGUGUAGAAAUUAAAAUACUAAUAAUAAUCAUAAGUUUAUAUUUUUUUGAGAAAGUUAUAUAUAUAUAUAUAUAUCCAUUUUUUCGUUAUUACAUAAAUGCGAGAAAAUUUUCUUUAUUACAUGGAUUCCCAUUUUCUCCUCUUCAUAACAAUAUUUUAGAAAACUGAUGAAACUAUCAUUUUCAAUUUUUCAAUAAUUAAAAAAUUCAAAUUUUCAGAUAUUGAAGAAACCAAAUUAUUAUAUUUUCGAUUUUUAAAAAUUAAAAUUCCUACAUAUUUACUAUUUCAAAAACCGAAAAAUCGAAAUUGUGUUCAAUGCUUCAAGUACUGAAAAUCUCCAUCUUCUUCCUCCCACCAGAAACCGUAAUCGAAUAGACUUUGAAAAACCAUAUUGUCAUGAAUACAAUGGUGAAAUGCUUCUUGAGAUUCGUCAUAUUUUGGGGGGUUCCAACUUCUAUCAUUGUCGAUCAUUUCAUUGUACGAUUUAACACCAUACUUUUCCAAACCCUAUUCUCACCGCAGUCAUUUAAAUGGAUAGUACUAACAUUAUAAUUUUUUUGAAAAAGUAUAUAAUGAGUUUAUUUAUCUUUGGUAGAAUGUUAUAGUAAGUAAUGUAAAAUUCGAUGAUUGCAUUUAUUCUAUUAAUCAAGCUCAAACUUCAAAAGAAUUUUUUUUUGAAUUUUAUAAGAUACCCAAUCUAUCAUAUUUCAUAUUAGAUAGUUGUAUCAAAGGUAAUUGAUCUCAUUUUAUACAAUCCCUAUUUUUUUUUGUGGUCCAUUGAUAUCUAAUAGUUGGCUUUAUCGAAAGUGAUUCAUCCCUCCUAGUUCAAGUCUUAUGUAGGCACUGUAGAUCUCCAUAUGUGCUUCAUAUUAUUGCCUCCAAUUGUCGAUUUAGACUUGCAAAUCAUUCAUGGUUGAUUUGUCAUAUUUAUCAUAAAGCAAAUAUCUCGACAAACUUAUUUGCUAAAAAAGGUCACAAUUUUUUUCAAAUACCACUAUUAGGGGCUCUAGGCCUCCAGAUUUUAAUUCUCUUCCUUUAGUUAAUGAUGUUUGUAUAAUUGUCCUAGUAGGAUUGUAAAAUAAUGAGUUGUAAUACGUUUUUAUUUUUAUUAAUGAAAAGCAUAUAGGGAGCCUUCUCUCUACUGAUUUAUCCAAAAAAAGAGGGAUACAAGCACAUGAAAUAGGGGUUUCUGGUGGGAGGAGGAAGAGGGGGGUUUUCGGUACUUGAAGUACCGGAAACAAUUUCAAUUCUUGAAAUGCUGAAUAUAUAAAAAUUUUGGUUUUUUUUAAAAUAAAAAAUAUAAUAAUUUUGGUUCAAAUUGAAUUCUUUAGUUAUUGAAAAACUAAAAAGAAUAGUUUUGUCUUUUUUAAAAUAUUGUUAUGAAGGGGAAAAAACGGGUAAUAUGAAAACUUAUUGGUAAUUCUAUAAUAAUAUUAUAUAUNNNNNNNNNNNNNNNNNNNNACGUGGUGUGUGCGUGUGUGUGAUUUUAUCUUUUUUUUUUCAUAUCCAUAAUAUCAUAACCUAAAUCAUUAAUCCCGAAAAUUUAAUAUUAAAAUUCCAUUUUUAAAAUGGUUUAAUGGGCCCGCAUUGUAGCAUUAUAAUGCCACGCAUUAUUAAGCAAUGGAAACCCCAUCUGUAUUAUAAUGCCACGCAUUAUUGAUGCCACACACUUUAAAAAUUGAUCCUUUAAAAAUUGAUUAUUAUGUUGAUCUUAUCUAAGUCCCAAUACUGAGCUGACGCCCUAGGGCCCAUGUGGAUCUCAAGAUUAUUGUUUUUUUUCUUAAGACUGCAAGCUUGGCCAUUUUUAAGACAUUAUACUUUUAUUUAUUGAGGCUAAAAUAUUUUGUGAUCUUGUGAAAAGCAAGUUAUUUACUUACUCCCUUGGGUAAAAUAUAAUAUAAGAAUAUUUUUUAGACCGUGAUGUAACUUCUUCAAGUCAAGAGAGUAAUUAACCUCGGCAGGAAAAAAACGAAGAAGGAAUCAAGUGUGCUUUAGAAAAUAACAUCUCAAAGCAGAAGGGGAGAUCCAUGUGUUAAAAAACUCAAAAUAAAAAAAUAAAAAAAUAAAAAUAAUCAUAUUCUUGAUUAUUCAGUGGUUUACAAAAUUUCUAAUCGAAAAAGUCCUACCGAGCCCAAAGGUGUAUAUGCACAAUAUGCUCUUAAGAUAAUGCGCAUAUGUGGAAGUGCUCCACAAUGUGUAGUCGUAAGGUUUUUUUUACGGGCAAGCUUUCCGUACUUUCCCUACAGCAUAGAAGUUCUAUCCUCCCCUUAUCCAACCGCUCAUUUUGAAUGAAGGGCUAAGAUUGUCCAAAUCACAAUGUCAUAUCUCUACAUUAUUUUAUUUUUAAUUUUUUUUUAUAAACUAUUUUGACACCAAAUUUUGGACAUCCAUUCCUCUAUUAAACUCGCAGUAGCGAAAAAUAUAAAAAAAACAAUAUUUUCAAUAAAAUAAAUGAUCAAAAUACCCCUUCAAAUUUCAGGGGGUAUUUUAGUCAUUAUAUUUUAUCGAAAAAUUAAUUUUAAUAUUUUUUAUAAGUGCGCCCCAAUGAGAAGAUGUUCAUAUUCAUACAAUUUGUAUAUAAAAAACUAAAAAUAAAAUACUUUAAGAUGUCGGAUCUAGGAUCAAACGGUGAGUGGCUCUCUUGAUCAAAAUUGGAUGGCUGGAUGGUAGGGGGAGGACAGACCUUCUAUGUUGUAGGGGAAGCAUAGAAACCUCUCUUUUUUUUAGAAGUGGUCAUAGAAUUCCAAAAUAGUGUUAAUAAAUGUUAAAGGAAAUUUAUCAAAAUAUACUUUUGAAUUAACUGCCAAGCCCAUAAGAUUGGGAGGAUGAUGAUGACGGCUUAAAAUUAUUAACUAUUUAAUGUAUUACCCCAUAUAUCUUGAUUUAAUUUCAAAACACCCAUCAAAAUAUACAUAAUUUUUUAGUUAGAAUAGUAGAAAAAUACAAAAUGAUAAAUAGUUGAAAAAUGAGGAAUAUUUUGACGAACUUUCCGAAUGUUAAUUAUGUUAGUGUUAAAAGGGCCAGCAUAGACAUACACAUGAGAGAAUAGUAGAAAAAUAGAAAAUGAUAAAUAGUUGAAAAAUGAGGAAUAUUUUGAUGAACUUUCCAAAUGUUAAUUAUGUUAGUGUUGGAAGGGCCAGCAUAUACAUACACCUGCGACAAUAGAGAGAGACCAUGGCCACCAUGGCCAAGUCCUUAAAUGUCUAGAGAGAGAUUUUCUUAUUGAAAAAUCCACUUUCAUUUGCUUAUUGAAAAUGGCACUUUGAGAGAGAGAGAUUUCCUUAUUGAAAAUGGCACUUCAGAGACAGAUUUUCUUAUUAAAAUGGCACUUAAAUUGUAGAGAGAGAGAGAAGCACGUAAAGUUUUGCUUCAAAUGAUAAAUGUUUCAUAUAGCAACAAGGGGAAAUUACAUGGAACUAGUUCAAGUAAGACACUUUUUCUUGCAAUAAAAAAUUAAAAAGACGUCAUGAACGAAUCACAUACGUCAUGCUUGACAUCACCAUGACAAUGGAUAUCAUAUUCAAUUGGCUACAUCAAUUUCAAAAGGCCAACCCCAAAACCCUAAUCCUUGACAAUCUCCCAAAACAAUAAAAGGAGAAAAUAAUCAAUUUCCAACCGUAAAUAAAACCAAAUAUACCCACAAUACUAAAUUAAAAAAAAAAAAAUCUCUAAAUCCUAAUCCCCAAACCUAAAGUGUACCCACAACCCUGAAUUCCUGAAAAAACCAUCUAAAUCCCAAGCACUAAACCUAUGAUUUGCUGAUUAGUUCCGAAUUCCAAAAAACCCUAAAAUAUAGGUCUAAAUUCGGAUUUUUUUUAACCCUAAACCCUAAACUCUAAACAAAUAACACUUUUUAAGGCACUGUUCUCUUCCCUGUGUAUGGAUGGCCUAAAUGGUGACCAUGAAGUCUUCCAAGGGCGGACAUCUUAUGGGACUGCCCAGAAAUAACCCCAUAUGUUGAGGGACUUUGGGACAAGACAAUCUCAUAACCAUCGUAGAAAGACUCCAUGCCCUCAGCCAUUAAUUGCCAAAUAAGCCCACCCCCAAUUGUUCCUCCACUUCUGGCUAACUGGUAAAUAUUUCUAUAAAUGGAAUUUAGAAAUGAGUCCCUUGCGCCUAUGUUGUAUCCAGGGUCUUUCUUGGACUUUCCAAAUUCAGCAAAAACCAAGGGUUUUUUCAGAACUCUCUUUGAAUCUCUCCAAUGACUUUGCAUCCACCUUUGCAUAAAUGCAAGUUGAGCCUCAUCACUUUGUCCAGAGAGCCUGUAGUUAUGAAAAGUUAAUUAAAUUCAACAUUAUUAUUACAUAACAUAGAAAAAAACUGAAAGAAAAUUUGUAUAAUAUACAUUGAACAAGAAGAGCAUAUAAUAAUGGGCAUGGUUUUUGUACGGCAACACUUUUUUUAUAUUUGGUAAGGCCACACCUAACAACCUUGAUAGCCUGCAAAUCUAUUUUUACUCCUGAUUAUGAAAUUUAAAGCUCCAUAAACCAAACAGACCCAUGGAAUAUGAAGUACCUCGUCUAAAAAAAGUGUUGCAAAACAUACAAUUUUAGAACUUGAAAUCUUUUUUGGCCUUUUUUUUUUUUCUUAGGUCCAUAACUAUAGAGGUCAUAAUGAGUGAUUUAUAAGUUUUCUAGUCUAAGAACUGCAAUUUCAGGUGAAAUUUAAGGUGCAGUUUUAUAAAGCCAGGUCCUACAAAAUACUUUCCCUACCAUAGAUAUAAGAGCUUACCAUAUAUCAGGGUAUGCAUGUAUAGUGGCAAAAUCAACUUCUCUCACCAGGUUAUUGGUUAUAAAAUCAGUGCCAACUUGGUAGCCAGGAUUUAUUGCCUUUUCUUGGGGCAUUGUAUCACCAUAGAAGCCCUCCAUCCCUAUCUCCACCAAAUGGUUCCUAUCUAGUGACUUAACAAAAGCUGCCAUCUCUUGGACCCAUCCCUGAAAAUUUAAACCAAAUAUUAAAAGAAAAUAAGUUAAUUGCCCUCAGCUUAAUAUAGUUAAGUAAAAAGUGUCCUCUUUUUGGAUACAAAGCAAGAGAUGGGUUAUUUUAGAAUACACUACACUAAUAAUGAACCUAGAAUUCAGUACUCCGAAUUUUUUUUACCAGGAAAGAAAAAGAGAGAGAUUUACCGUCAGAGUCCUUCCUGAAUAAUCAGCCUGGCAACGGGGUUCAUUCAUGAGCUCCCAUGCCAUGAUUGUGGGGUCGUCUCUAUAUGCAAUCUUAGUGAUGCUGUUAACUCGUGUUAUCACUCUCUACAUGAAACCAAUCAGAAAAUUUUCUAUAAGAGAUACCAUUUCUUGUUAAUCUCUACAUGAAACCAAUGAGAAAAUUUUUCAUAGGGGAUACCAUUUCUUGUAAAUUUGUGAACUAUAAAGAGAAAGGGAGAGAAAUAUAGGCCUAAAAAAAAAAAGGUAAGAGAGCAAAAGCAGCAAAACUCCUAGUAUUACAACUCAAUGUUAAAAAUCAUCUCAUUAAUUAAAGAUAAAAAAGAAAAAAAAUUACUAAGAAAUACAGAGAAAAUAAUGUGAAAAUUUUAUCCUUGCGGUUUAAACCUCUUCUUUUGUUGCGCAAAACCUUGACCACACGGGUUGAUGAUAAUGUGAAAAACAAAAGUAAAAUAAUGAGAGACAUCAGCCGCAAUAAGCACACAAUAAAAAAGAAAUAGCACAUGAGAAUAUCAAUAUUUAUGUGACUACGUCCACAGGUGAAAAUCACUAUGAGAUCUCUAAACAUACCGGACGGCUCUCCCCAACCCCGUCAAUUACGCCCCCGAGAAAAAACAAGUCUAUUAACAACUGAAAUUACAUCUUAAAUUACACCAAAGAAUUCAAAGCAUAGCUUCCAACACCACUUUUUUAAAAAAAAAAAUAGUUACCUUCACAUGGUUCUUGUAGUAUGUCUUCAAUAAUGGAUUUGUAUAGAAGUCAUCAUCACUUCCAACAUGAGCCCCUGCAUCUCUUGCCCACUUCACAUAUUGAGCUCUCCCUCCAUAGUCAUUGUAAUUGUUUGUGAGGCUCAAAAUUAGGCGAAUCCCAUGCCUUCUUGCCUCCGAUAUUACGAAGUCCAGACCCUAAUGAACAACAAAUGCAUGUUAUUUCCUUAUUUAAAGUAAAAAAGCUAUAUACUCCCGCGGAAACAUAUCGCACAUUCACUGCCUCCAGUAAAAUUGUGUCUAGAAGUACUUUUAUGAUCUUAAAUUAGGGAAUGCAAUCGAUCAUAUUUAAGUGUUUAGGAUCUCCAAGUCCAAUUUUUUUCUUUUGCAAAUACUCAUCUAGUGAUUCUAAUGUGGAAUCCAAAAUUUGACUUCCAAAAAUGCUCUUAAGUAGCUCUUUUGCCUGAGGGAGCUAGUGUACAAUGUGCUCCCGCGGGAAUAUAGUAUACAUCGACAGUAGUUUUGGCGACUAAAUUCAUGUCUGAUUUUGAAACUCCAAAACUCUAACUCAAUGAAGAAAUCUAGAGAGAGAGAGAGAGUAAAAAAUAUACUCCAUGAAAUGCAUGGAUACAAGUAAUGUGAUCACCAAACUCCUUAUGUGCAUAAAUACAUUUGGUCAGUUAGGAACAAAUACAAGUACAAUUUAAGUUGAACUAACACUAACACCUAUUAGUGAAAGUGUAGAAGCCACCCUUAGUGGGUACUAUCAUCUCCACCUUCCGUCGUCGAGAUAAAAGGUGGAGGCUAUAUAUUGUAAUAUUUGACAGUUGAGGAUGAUUGUUAAAUCGUUGUACCAAAGAUAAAUAGUUUUAUAAUAUAUAAUUCCAUCUUGUAUUGCCUGCAACGUUUGUACCUAUAUUUGUAAGUUGAAACAUAAUGUAGGUAUGUAUCUGCAUUUUGUAGAGAGAGAGAGAGAGAGUAAACCUGAAAGACACGUUCAUCGUAGAGACCAGGCGAAAUUUGAAGGGCAUGGUCACCGCCAUCACUAAAUGCCCAUGUCCUACCGACGGUGAGCCCGGCACCCGCCGCCUGCUGCAUCACAGUCGACACCUUGUUUCUCUCACUAGGCUCGGCCGCAACAUGCAUCAUCCAAUAAGAAUUGAACCCAUUAAACAAAAAUGGAGACCCAUUGAGCAUGAACCUUGUGCCAGGGGUCCUAACAAACCCUCUACUACGGUGAAACCUGGCCUCACUAGCUACAACAAAGAGGCUUAGAACACCCCAAAUGUAGAGGACUUUGGUAAGUUUAGCCAUGCUUUUAGGGGGACUUUGGAUGAGUGGAAUUGGGUUAGGGUGAGAAGUGAUUUAUAAGGGAUUAGGGUUUCCAAAAAUAGUAAAAGUUGCAGGAUUAAUGGUGGCUUUCGGUGAGGGAAAAUGGAGGGUAGCUAGAUUUAGAGGAAGUUUUAGCAGAGGUUUGAAUAAAAAGAGGAGAAAUCAUGGAAAAGGGAUGUGGGGGUUGGAUAGGUGAGUUUUGGUACACCAAAAGAGAGAGAGGGAGGAAGUUAGAGGCGCCUCUAAAUUUAGGGGAACAUUUUCGAUGUGGCCUCUUGUGUAUGGAUAUUUGAUGACCUUGUGUAAAGGUAGUUAAAGGAGUUUCCUUAUUGGUGAGGUGGAAACCAUGUGCAUACAUUAGGGGCUCUAGAUAAUACAUCAUUUCAAAAAAAAUAAUAAUAGAAGCACCUUGUAAAGUCUCUCUUAAAAUUUGGGAAAAUUUUUGUCUUCUAUUUCUCCUAGUGGAGAAAAUUUUAGGGCAGCUUUUUGUCAAAAUUGAACUCAAAAGUGACGUUAAUUUCUAAAUGAGUUGAUUCUAAAAAUCAACUCUUCCAUUAUUAUAGCCAGAAUCACUCACAUACGGGUGGUAGACCGGACCUGGACCAGGACCCGGACCUGGACCCGGACCUAGACCCAACCAGGCCUGAAUUCACUGGACCCGAACCCGGACUCGAAAAUAUAGUGUGGGACCGGGACCCGGACCCGACCCAACAAUUAAAAUGCCUUUGUGUUUAACUAUAAUUAAAUAUAUUUCAUAUAUUGGGACCUAAAAAAUAUUACCGGACCCAAUUUGACACCCGGAUGCGAAUAGUGUGGGUCCAAGAUUUGGACAUGAACCCGACUCACUGGAUCCAAUUUUUGGACCCAUACUCCAAUCCAACCCUAGGGUCCCAGGUCAGGUCUGGAUCCAUUGCCAUCCCUGCACUCACACACACUCUCUCUGUUCCUUUUCUUCAGGAUUGGUCGACAUUCUUCCCCUUAUGCCCAAGUGAGUGUGUGUUUAUGAAUGUGUCUGUGCAAGUCGACCCUUGCUAAUUCGGUCCGGAAUUGGGAGGUGGACUAAGCCGGUUAGGUCAAGAUCCAAUAGGAAUGAACCCAACUGUUCUAGUCCUAUUUCAAAUCUAGCCCAAACCUAUUCGGGUCUAGGUCACAGUCAGUCUGCACACACAAACACAUGUAUAUCCAACCCAAACCUAAUAGCCUAGGUUCGAGUCCUAUGGAGUAGGACCCGGACCCUACUUGCGUGGGAGGUGAGGAAAAGAAUAAACAUGAAAAGUUCUUGUAAAAAAAAAUACCGUGAGAAUUAUUUUAUUUUUUUGAACCUUAACACAAUUAACACGAGAAGUUAAAAAAUUAAAAUUCAUCAAAUAUAUGGAUGUGGGUGCAAGAGAGAGAGGAGACGCCCUUUUCUUUGUUGUUAUACAGUUAGAAAGGGAAAUGAAGUAAUUAUUGCUUUUUGUUUCCAUUUGGUCGGUCAAAAGCCAAACGGUGGAUGAGAAGAGAGAGAGAGGUUCACACUUAUGAGUGGGAAUGGGUUGGGUUGAUCAGAGUAGUUAUAAGUUGGACCCGGAUCUAGGUCAGGUUCGUCAAUUGGACCAGGACUAACCCUUCAUGGACCCGGACCUAGGUCAGGUUCAUCAAUUGGAGCUGGACUAACCCUCCAGGUCUGGUUGGGUCUGUAAACAAAUAAUACAAAAAGUAUACCAUAUGGUAUAGGAAAAAGUAAAGUUCAUAUGAGUGCGAGGCUAUGAACAAUCAAAUUAGAGUGUACUUUAAAAUUUUCACUAGAAAAGGUUGUUUUGAUACUUAAAUAUCUUCAAAUUGAUCAUUUCGACAUCAAGAUGCAUGGACAUGAGAAAAAAAAUGGAUUUCAAGUUUUAGAAAUAGUGCAUCUUGUAAUGCAUAUUUUGGACUAUCAAUUUUCAAGAUUUUUAAGGUUUCAUAGAACUCUUCAAUCUACACUAGUUUUGAAGCUUUAAAUUUUAUAAUUAAAGAUAAAAAUAUAUUUUAAGUCUAUCACACAGAUUUCCAAUAUUGAAACCAUAUUUCUCAGCACUAUUUAAAGGUGGGCUUUACUUUGAUUGUUUAGAGCUUUGGCUCUAUACAACCGCACCCUAUAGGAUAUAUGCUAUAUAAUAUACUUAAUAUUAUAGGGAAAUGUUUUUAUACAUCCCCUAUUAUAUAGAAGUUCCAUAUUUUCCCUGAUCCAGCCUUCCAAUUUAGAUCAAAUGAGCUAUUAAUCGUUUCAUCACUGUUUGUUCUUAUUUAACGUCUCAUAGUAUUUUAUUUUUAAUUUUUAUUCUACAAAUUAUGUGAAUAUGAAAUUUGGUAUGUGCCUUCAUCUCAAUGGGGUGCACUUAAAAAAAAAAAAAAAAAAAUCCAAUAAAAUGAAAUAACGAAAACACCCUUGAAGCUCUUAGAGGUAUUUUGGACAUUUUAUUUUUAUUAUGAAUAUUAUUUUAUAUUUUUUGCAUGUGCAAGUUUAAGAGACGAGUGGAUGCCAAAAAUAUGGUGUCAAAAUAUUUUGUAAAAAAAAUAAAAAAUAAAACAAUGUAGAAGCAUGACAUUGUAGUUGGAUUCAUCUCAGUUGUUCAUUUUGACCUGGCCGCUAAAGAGAAGUAUGUAACUAUUAUACAUUAGAAGAAAUAUAGAAAUCUUGCACUUAUUAAUAUGUAUUUAUAUUAAUAUAGACUGGGUUGGGUCGGUUCAGGUCAACCCAACCUAGAUCCAACCCGACCCGACUAUAUCUACAUUCAACUAGGACUUGGGCCCGACCAAAAUCAAGUCAAAGUUAAAUUGACCCGACCCAUCAGAUCCAAAUUCUGGUUCCAGACCCGGAUGCGUCGACCCAAAUUCCCACCUCGAUUCACACUUUACAUAGACCUCUUUUUAUUGGAGAAAACGUGUGGAACUGACACUUCAAAAUACAAGCGCAAACAUCGCCGGUUUCUCUGUUUUCAGUAUUCAGCAAUGGGCCCGCCCCUCUCUCUAAAAUGUUGCUUCUCUCAAAUGGACCAAUCGGCCCGCCUCUCUCUCUAAAAUACAAACAAACGUAAGCAUUGUCAGUUUUCACGUUCUUGUUAAUUCACCAAUGGGCCUCUCUAAUGAAAACGAAAACAUCUCCUGUCUCUCUCUCUCUACUAAAAACAAAAUGUAAGCAUUGUCAGUUUUCACGUUCUUGUUAAUUCACCAAUGGGCCUCUCUAAUGAAAACGAAAACAUCUCCUGUCUCUCUCUCUCUACUAAAAACAAAACGUAAGCAUUGUCAGUUUCUUUGUUCUUAGUAAUUCACCAAUGGGCCCUCUCUCUCUCUCUUAAAACAAAACGUAAGCAUUGUCAGUUUCUUUGUUCUUAGUAAAUCACCAAUGGGCCCUCUCUCUCUCUCCAAAACGUGGCCGCCCCUGGAUUCCUUCACCUGAAUUUGGGGAACCGAUUUUUUAUCUCUUUUUACCCGUGCGAGAUUAGGGGUGGCAAUUGACCCGGACCAAAACCCGACACGUACCCGACACAGGUCCAGGUAUAGGUCCAACAAUUAGACCUGUGGGUCCGAUCUGGGUUCAAAACCUCGACCCGAACAUUAUUCGAGUAUGGGUCCGCGUCCGGUUGGACCCAACCCAUACCUAUAAACGGUUGGAAAUAUAAUGCUUCAAAUCAUAUUCGUUUGGGUGUAUUAAAGAUCAUAUAUAACAAGAAUUUGUAGUCAUUUUUAGCUAUUAAACGAUAAAUAAGACGACUUGAAAUCUAAUAGCAGGUGAUUGUGACCUUGUUGCCAAUAACAUGGGUAUAUAAUAAUUAAAAAAAAAACUAAAAAAAAAAGAAGAAGUUCAUAGUAAUGGUGGCAAUGGAUCGGCUAAACCCGAGACCCGAUGGAAUAGACCUAAUGGGUACGGGUAUGAGUCGAAUGGACCCGACAGGCCGGCUCCACGUCCAAAACCUGGACCUAAAUACAUUUGGGUUUAGGUCUCAGUCCAGCCGGACGCGACCCAUUCCUACCCCUAUUCGAGAUCUAUACUUAAUAUGCAAAAAAGUGUACAAUGAGACCAUUUAGGUACUAGGCAAUCAUAAUUGAUCUUGACCAUUGGAUGUGAAAUUGGAGAGCUGUAUUUAUUUCAUGAACUAAGCUCAAAUUUUUUUAAAAUUUUUUUUAUCAAAUUUUGUGACUCACUUAAGCUAUCGGAUUUCACAUCAUAUGGUUAUAAGUGUGACAUGUUUGUAUUAGAGGUAAAAAGUCUCAUACAAUCCCUAUUAUUUACCCAAAAUAAAUGGAAAGUAUACUUCUGCUGCUGAGCACAUGUUGGCCCUAAACAAUCAAAUUAGUGCUUACCUUUAAAUAAUAUCGAGAAAUUUGGUUUCAAUACUGAAAAUAUUUACGAUAGCUUUAAAAUAUAUUUUCAAAUCUUUAUUUAUAAAGUUUAAAGCUUCAAAAAUAGUUUAGAUCGAUAGACCUAUGAAAACUUGAAAAUCUUGAAAAUUGACGAUCUAAAUAUAUGUUACAUAAUACACUAUUUCCAAAACUUGAAAUCUUUUUUUUUUUUUCUCAAUGUCCAUGCAUCUUGAUGUUGAGAUGAUCAAUUUGAGGACAUUUGGGCAUUAAAACAUCAUCUUCUAGUGAAAUUUUUGAGGUAGGCUCAAAAUUGAUUUUUUCGAGCCUCGGCCCAAUAUAAACUUUUCCCUUUAAAAAUUAUUAGAUGAGUACAAUUUUGGGAACUAUUUAAAAAUUGGAUGGUCUCCAUUCAAACUCGAGACGGUACUUUUUCAAGUGCAAAAGGUACAAUUAGGUAUUUUUCUAUUGAAGUUAAUCUAUGGGUUUAAGAGGUUAUUGGGGUCCUAAAAUAAAUUCUAGGUGGGGUUUUACUCGAGGAAGUAAAUCGACAUUCUACUCCCGUGGGAGUAUAAUAUCUUUUGCCUAUGUGAAAUCAAGGGGAAAGUGGGUUACAUAUAUCAUCUUAAAGCCAAUAAAUUUUGUGAUCAUGGGGGAGCACACUGUCUAUUUACUCUCCUGGGUUGUAUCGUACUAUCUAAGAUUUUUUGGGGCCUGAAAUUUUGGGGAAUGUAAGCAAUUCAAUCUAGUGACUAACUUCAACAACAAGAAAAAUAAAAAAAAUGCAAAAUAAAGUUCGAAGAUUGACUAGGAGCAUUGAACUUUUGGAAUGUGAGAUCUGAAUAACUCAAAAUUCAGUUCUUUUUUAUAUUCAUAUUGUAAUUCUUAAGGAGAUCUCAAAAUUUUUUUUAAAAAAAAAAAAAAAACUCAAGUAGCUCUUUCGCUCAAAAGAAUUAUUGCAAAGUGUAUGCCCACAGGAUCACAGUGUACAUGCCUAACUAAAUGGACUCUAUUUGCAAAGAACAACUACCAUUGUUUAAACUUUAAAGAGUUGCAGUUUUGGACUCGCCUAGUUGGACCGGAUAUGGAGCCAGGCGAUUUUUAGUCAAAAACGCCUGGAACUACCUAAUGCCUUUUUUUAAUAAACUUUUUACGAGAAAAUUCCCGGUUCGAUUAGAUCUUUUGAGCCUCAGGAAUUGGAGCCUAAGUCCCACAUUUUAAACACUAGAACAUGCUUGGGUUUUAUAUUUGUGAAAAAAGACAUAGACCAAGCAUAAAAAAAAUAUUCUUUUUUCCUUUUAUGCAAUAUCAACAAUAAUGUAAUUUUGGAAACGAUCAGGAAAAUCAUUUUGAUACAACAUUUCUUUUCCACGCCAAGAUAAAUAGAAAAAAGAAACAUGGAUUUAUUGCCUGAAAUUUAUUUAGCAUUAGUGGUUUUCUAAUUGUUGAUUAUUUGUUAAUUAAUCUUUUUCGUCAAUCAUAAGUUAGUUAUCUUCAAGUAGCUUUGCUAGACUUCAGCUGCUAACUACUCAAGCCCAAACCCUAUUCCUCUUCCUUAUCUUCCUUUUGCUAUUGGGUAGAACUGAUAUGAAUUGGACCACCAAGCCAUAAUGUUGGGGACACAUAUGCACAUAUACACACAUUGAGAAAGGGAGACACAAAGGAUCCCAAAUUUCAGGACAUUGUGUUCUUAUUCAUGUUUAAUAAAACUCCAUGUUAUAGUGAUCCAAAGUAGUUUCAUAUCCUAUCUCAUCAGUUGAAGCUAGAAGCCAAGUAAGCAAGGGGCCCCACCAACGGGGCAUUGAUGUACGUGGUGGGUUCUGUUUGGGCAUAAUUGUUCCGAUCAUCAGUGAAGGAAUCGAAUUUGUCGGGCCCACCCACAAUCGCACCAAGGAGCAAAUUAGGGUUAGGGUUUGAGUCCUUAAGGGAUUGGAAACCAGCAUCACAUCCAAUUCUUUGAGUGUUAAUGGUGAUGCUCGGUAGAGAAGAGCCCCUGUGAUGUAUGUGUUGAGGAAAUUUGUCCCCAUAACCAACCAUGUAUGACAUCCCUCGUGGAUUAUCUCCUAGUACGUAAUCAACCUGCAACAAUGGAAAAGCAUAUUUAUAUUAUUUAGAAUUCCAGUGAAAGAAUUGUGUUUUUCAAUGACUAAAAGAUUAUAAAAAGCCAAAAGAAUAUAUUCAAAGGGUGAGAUUUGUAUAAGGUAUACUAUACAAGUAAAGCACAUCUUUAAACUUUGCUAAAAGAUGUAGUUCUUGUAUCGAAAACCUUACGAUGACUUGAAAAUUUAUGUUCAACCCUAGUUAUAAAAUUUCAUAUAUAUAUAUGAGAUGAUCAAUUAAAAGAUUUUUCAAAAACUUUGGAAUGCUCAUUUCUAUUGAAUUUCUUAGGAGCACCUGAUUUCUAUAGUAUAAAAUUGCAACCUUGUAUAAACUUACUUUAUUUCUAUAGUAUAAAAUUGCAAUCUUGUAUAAACAUUUUACAUAAGGCAUCCACUUUAAACAAUUAAAGUAAGACCUGCUAGAAAUUACAGUUUUGAUACUAGAAACGCUUAUGAUCGUCUGAAAAAUCUGGUUUCACUCCUAAGUAUGACAUUUAAAACUCCAAAAAUGGUGAUAUCAAUUAUUACUAUAAGCACUUUAAAAUCUUGAAUAUGGAUGGUCCAAAUAUUGUGUUACAAGGUAUACUAUUUGUAAUACUUGAAAGCCUUUUUUUUUUAUAUGCAUGCAUCUUGAGGUUGAGAUGAUCAAUCGGAGGGUUACCUAAUGUAAAAACAACCUUUUUUAUUGGUUUUUUACUCGUGCACCAAACCCAAGGAGUCAAAACCAGACCCAUAAGUUCCUGUCAUCCUGCUGGGUCUUUAGGGUAGAACCCUGGCCUUACUAUCAACCCUAAUAACUAAGGUGAAGACAAUUUACAUACCUGACUCUUGGCUACCUCUCUGAGGAGGGCUGGUGUGACCACUAGAGAACCACAAGUGAAUGUUCUAUCCAAAUGCUUCAUGUACUUGGCAUAAGUUGAGAGUAAGAAAGUGGUGGAUGUCACAUACUGCAUGUUGCUCGCAUUCAUCUUGUGUAGGAGUCCCCCUGGUGUGUAUUCUAUCUUGAGCAUUGGAGAACCAGGCAAAACGCUGCACAUGAAGUUCUCUGCCUGUGAUCGGAAUUCGGCAAGCGGCUCGUCAUUUUUGACAUGCGAACCCUGAAGAUUCAAUGCCCAGAGAGAGUAAUCAGAUGAGUUUUUUAUUGCCUGCAUGCAAGCUUAGGGUUUUAAAAAAUGCCAAUCAAAUAGGAAUCACCCGAUCUAUAUCGCGAAUCGGUGGGACCGAUCCAAUUUCUACAAUAUAUUGGGAAUCAAACAGUUUCCACUAGGAACGGGCUGACCCGACCCUUACUUUUUUUUUUUUUUUGAAAUUUUUUUUUUUUCUAUAUUUUUAAAUUUUUUAUUGGCUGAUUCAUUUGGCCAGAUAGUCAAUCCAGGCUGCAAAUCUGCCAAUCAAAACAUGUUUCCCAGACAGGCAGUCCGGGUCACAAAUCCAUUUUUAAGCAUUGUGCAAGAUGAAGUAGGGUUGUAAACUAGUUGGGCCAAUAUCUGGCAUCCAAAUAUAAUGGAGGAGGAGCACAUAGAAUACUUAGGUGGGACCAAAGCCCCCUAGGGCAUAUCUUAAGUCAAGUUGACCCGACACCCUCAUCAUCAUCAGAGCUUUAUCUCAAUUCUUUGAGUCAGCUAGUCAAUCAGACACCCUGAGACUCGAAAAAUGAAUCAUCAAGACUGUGAUUGUGAAGGAUGAAGAGUAUAUAGAGAGCAAUAGGAUCGAAAUUUGCUCUCUCUCCCUCUCCCUUACCUUGGAAAGGAGGACCCUAGCUCCAGCCAGCUUAUUGUCCCAACUGAAAGUAUCGCAUGGAGCGUUGGCUCCAAGUGCCUGUGCAUAAUCAAGAUAGGAAGAAUUGUGGGUGGCUUUGAACAUCCAAGCUGCACCCCAUAAUAGCUCAUCCUGCAAAAUUCAUAAAAGAAAUCUAAGUUGGAUGUUUUCUUUUUUGUAUUUUUGAAUAGGCAAAAGUUUAUAUAAGGUUGCAAUCAUAAAGUAUAGAAUUAAAGAUGCACAUAAAAAAUCUAUCGAAAAAUGUUAUUUUAAUGUUGAGAAACCCACUAAUUGAUCAUCUCGAUAUCAAGAAGUGUGAAUAUACAAAAAUAAAUAAAAUUUAAGUCCCAAAAAUAGUGCAUCUUGCAAUACAUUAUCUAGACCGUCUAUUUUCAAAAUUUUCAUAUGUUUAUAGAUCUAUUUGAUUUUAACCAUUUUUAGAAUUUAAAUUCUUGUAAUUAAAGAUAAAAAUAGAUUUUUGGAUAAUCCUACGUAUUCUUUAGACCAAAAUUAUAUGUCAUGAUAAAAUUUGGAGGUGUGCCUUAAUUGGAUUGAUUAAGGUUGCAACCUUAUACAAAUCACACCCUUUUCAAUAAUUAAGAACAAAGAAAGAAUAGAAGUUUUCUUUCGCUGGAUUGGCCAAACAGGGGGGGGGGGCCGUUGGCCCCUGUAUAACAUGAGCAAGCAUGUUGAUAUUUUUUGUGUCAUCGAUAAUAUUAAGAAUACAACACUUAUGUUUAACCUGUUGAAAACUUAAUAAAGUUUUCUUGACUUUUCUUGUUGAAACCUUACUAAAACGUUACUUUAAUAUCACCUAAAAUUUGUACCUCCCUGUUUGUCUAAAUGGUACACUAAUUGUACCUCCCUGUUUGUCUUAUGGGAAGCUACAAUUGAAAUUGUAAAAAAGAAAAGUUGAAAAUAUAAAAAGAAAAGUGAAAAAAUGUACAUAUGAUUAUUUCUUUGGAUCAAAAGCAAAGAAACUACGCUUCUAAAUUAAAAGGAAAAUAAGUAUCAAAACUUCGUUUCGUAUUUAAAAAAUCCAAAACCAAAAACAAAAACAUUGCGUCCACCCUUGGGUGGUCAGCCACCGUUGUCCACGCUCCCCCAUUUUGGGAACCUUGUGGACCCUCUUUUGGCCCCAAAUUUUGCGAAAUACAUCUUGCUUAUUUCAUUUUAAUUGUUCAUCGAAAAACAAAUUUUGGGGCUGAAAAUGUGCCCCCAGGCCUGGACCUUGCAACACCUUUUCUUUCCUAAAUGGAUUAUGCAUAUUCACUAUUCACUGUAUUUUCUUUCGCCAAAAAGAAAACUAUAUUUUAUAGUUUAUUUUUUGGGAUGGUAUACUAUUAGACAAUUUCGUUUUGAGAAAGUAUAGAAUGAGACCAUUUACUUUUGGUACAAGCUGAGACAUUAAUUUGGACCAUUGGAUGUGAAAUUGGGUAGCUGUAAUUAUUUCAUCGACCAAGCUCAAACUUCAAAAAAAAUGUUUUCAAACUUCAUGACACAUCCAAACAAUCAAACUUCAGAUCGGAUGGUUGUAAGUAAUUGUGACCACCUUGUAUCAAAGGUAACUAGUCUCAUUGUAUACAAUCCCUUUUGUUUUUGUACAAUGAGGUUACAAUCACUUUUGAUCAUUGGAUUUCAAGCUUUAUCGCAACGUUUGAGAAAUUCUGUUUUGGACUUUGUGCCCAAGCAAUAACAUAUCCUCAACCGCUAGAUUUCAAAUCUAACAGUCGAUAAUGGCUCUUACUCUUUAUAUAAAACAUAAAUGGUCUCAUUGUAUACAUUUUUUAAAAAAUAAAAUAUUCACAACCUUCUUUACCAAGACCAAGAAGAUGGGUGUGGCAAAGUUGGCCAACAACUGCGACCUAGGGCCCCAAAAUGGGGAUGGGCAGGUUUUAUUCGUUGUAGACAAAUUGUUUUCCAUGGAAAAAAUUUAGGGAAAUGUUUUUGUACUUCCUCUACAAUAUAAAAGAUCUACGCUUCCCCUACCAUCCAACCGUCCAAUUUUCAUCAAAAUAGUCACUCACUGUUUGAUCUUAGAUCUGACGUCUCAAAGUAUUUAAUUUUAGUUUUUUUUAUACAAAUGUUAUGAAUAUGAAAUUUGGUAUGUGUCAUCUUCUCAUUGAGGCGCACCUAUAAAAAAAAUAUUUAAAAUAAUUUAUCGAUAAAAUACCAAAAUACCCCUUGAAACUUUCAGGGGUAUUUUGGUCAUUUUAUUCUUUUGGAAAUAUGUUUUUAUAUUUUUCACUAGUGUGAGUUUAAUAGAGGAUUAGAUGUCCAAAAUUCGGUUUCAAAAUAUUUUAUAGAAAGAAAAUUAAAAAUAAAAUAGUGUAGAGACGUGACAUUGUGAGUUUAAUAGAGGAUUGGACGUCCAAAUUUUGGUUUUAAAAUAGUUUAUAAAAACAAAAAUUAAAAAUAAAAUAAGGUAGAGAUGUGAUAUUGUGAUUGGGGCAAUAUUAACCCUCCAUUCAGAAUGGUUGGAUAAGGGGAAGUAUAUAAAUUUUAUGCUGUAGGGAAAGCAUCGAAAGCUUGCCCAAAUAUUUAUAUCGAAACAACUCAAAACUUACCAAGUAACCAGAGUAAGAGCAAUAAAACGGGCAAACCGCCUCCGACAAAUGGUCACUAUACGCCCCUCUAUACCUAUCUGCAAAGUCGAAGGCCUUUCCAGCGGCAUCCAAAAGUGUUUUAGAGUAAUCAGGAUCAACUUUUUUGAACACCUUCGAUGCCGCGGCAAGAGCUGCUGCAGUUUCCCCUGCAACAUCUGAGCCAGGAUUUGCAGGGGAGACGUUGUAAACGGUGCGAGGUGUGUCUGUGUCCUCUGCCCUUUGCCAACACUGGUGGUCAGCCACCGGGUCACCAACUUGGACAUAGAGGGCAUUAGGAAGGGCACUAGUGGCCUUCAGGAGAUAGUCGGUGCCCCACCGGAUCGCUUUGUGAGCUUGAUCGAGCUCGUUGCCCAUGCGCCUACCGAACUCGAGAACACUCCAUGAGAGCAUGGUGGUGGUGAAAGCCAUGGGUAGACCAAAUUUCACAUUGUCUCCAGCAUCAUAGUAUCCUCCACUCAAAUCCACCUAUAUUAUGUAAUUUAAACUGUUAAACUUAUCAUUUCUAGCCAUCUAAACCAAACAUGAUCUCCAAAAAUCUAUUUUGGAGAUCAUCCUCAAUAAUAAGUCUGAGAAAAUUUUAUUUCAAGCAUUAAAAAUGAUCUAUUUUGUACUUUCGUUUUCUUUCUUUUUUUGGACCUACCAUUUUAAUUCCUCAAAUAUUGAAAGUCCUCACUUCUUAUAUGCAAGCAAGAUAAAAAGAAAGAAUAUGUAUUUUCACCAAAAUAAUAAUCUGUUCUUUAUUUGAAUCGGUUAGCAGACUUCCAAAAGAAAAACAAUGCAAAAUAAAAUGAAAAUCAAACUUAUUAAUUAAUUAAGUUGAUAUUUUUAUUUUAAAUUGUCGGAUGAUCUGUAACUUUGAGAGUCGAAACAGAUGGAUUUUGCAAUUUGUGAUGUAUUUUCUUUAUUUUUCUCUUAAAAAUAUAUAUUUAGAUAUAAAAAAUGAGGGUUUUUGGGUAUUUCAACUCAAAAUUUUCAAAAGAUAUAUUUCAAGGAUCUUUUCAAAAACCCAUCUCGAUAAGUUUCAUAUAGUCAAAAAAAAAAAAACCAUAAAUUAUCUAUUUCGAGAGGCAAGUUGACAAAUACAUACAUUAACUGUGGAGCCAUCGGAGAGGCCGGAAUCCAAACGCCAUUUGAUUGAUUGAUCAGAUGGAAGCCUCCCCGAUCGCUGGGCCUCGAAGAAAACUAUGGCCUUGGCAAGGGCAUCUUUGUAGUCGUGAUGGCUGGAAACAAGAGACCCCCAAUCCCAAAUGAGCAUGAUUGCUAGAGAAAGCACAAUCCGCCGCCUCAUCUCGUCGCCUCUAUCGCUGGAAUUGAAGAAUACGAUAGAAUUACAGAGGAUAUACCGACGAAAUUCGUAUAGUAUUCAAAAAAUACCAGAAAAAUAUAUCUAUUUUUUUAUUUUAAUUAUUUUUCUUUCUUUUUUUUCAAUGGUGAAGAAUAUGCAUGUUAUUUAUGGUGGAGAAGUGGAGAUACAAAUAAGCAUUGUUAAUAGGUAAAGUAGCCGAGCAGUGGUUCCCAAUUGAUGGGUGCUCCUUGUGUAGUGGCAAAAAGAGUGCCAAUGGACGGUUGUUGUAAUGACACGUGGUGUGAUGUGGUUGGUUUGUUGUGAUGUGGCUUGAGGUGAUUGGGUGGUGGUUUCUUGGUUAGUGUGGGCCGUUGCUUCCAAUAACGAACUCAUGGGAAACAAGAUUUCCUUAGGUAGGUGGGUCAUCAAACAAGCAUUUUGGAUUUGUUUUGGGCCUUGGGCCUGUAGUUUGUGUAAGGCUGAGGCCCUAAACAAGAUGCACCUUCAAAUACAUUCUUUCAGUACUAAAAAAUCUUUGUGUUAACUUGAAAUUUUAUUUUUUAUAUCUAAUUAUUAAAUUUUAAGCUUCAAAAAUAGUGUACAUCGAACACAUCUAUGACCGCUUGAUAAUCUUGAAAAUUGAUGGUCCAAAAAAUGGAUUAUAUGACAUACUAUUUCCAAGCCUUGAAAUUCAUUUUUUCUCAUAUCCAUAGAUCUUGAAGUUGAGAUGAUCGAUUAGAGGAUUUUAGAGAAUCGAAACAACCUUUUUUAGUAAAUUUUUGAGGUGCGUUUUAAUUUGAUUGUUCAGGACCUCACCCUUAUAUAAACUUUUUUUCAGUUUGGCCUCUAAAAUAAAGCUCUGUUGUGUGAAGGUGUUACCACCACGACCCAAGCUUAUAUGUGCCUUUAACAAAAUAAUGCCUUAAGCUUUGGGGAUGGGUCAUGCAAUUCUUAGACAAUCAAAUCUAAAUGUUUAGAAAACCAAAAUCCGAAUUGCCUUUUUUAAUUUCAUAUGCCCAUCUCAUGAUCGAAAGUGAUCCGCGACAUUUCGGUCGAAAGAUUUCUCCCACGUGGCUCUUUCGCAUGAGGUAGUAAGUGCACUGUUUGCUCCCACAUGGGCACAAUCUAUUCAUAUUUCCAUUUGCACUUUAUUUAUGUGUAAGAACAUUUUCAUUAGGAAAAUGGCAAGCCCAGUUGGUAAUCUGCUUGGGAAGGAGUGAUCAUUAAUAUUGUUCUUGAUGAAAACGCACAAGUUACAACCCAAGGUCCACUUUCCUCUCCACUCAAUACAAACUCUUCUUUUUCUAUUGAAAGUUAGACUUUUAACCCAUGACUCCAUAUUGCUAGAGCAAUUAGGUCAUGAACCCCUAGACCAACACAACAAACCUAGAGAAAGUUUCAUUCUCUAACAACUGGAUUCUCCAUUACCUACUUUCUCAUUAGAGAAGAGGCACACAUACAUGGAGUCCUCAUGACCACUACUACAGUAAUGUGUUAAUUGCUCCCAGCUAGGUAAGCGAGGGGGCCCACUAGUGCGGCAUUGAUAUACAUGGCAGGCUCUGAUUGGGCAUAAUUCGUUCGGUCGUCAGAGUAUCUGUCAUUUUGGUCAGGCCCACCGACAACAGCACCGAUAUGGAGGUUAGGAUUAGGGUUUGGAUUAUAGAAUGCAUGAAAGCCGGCUUCGCACCCUAUGCUUUGAGGGUAUGCCCCUAUAGAGGGAAGGGAAGAGCCCCUAUGGUGCACAUGUUGAGGGAACUGCGGUCCAAACCCGACCAUAUAGGACAUCCCAAGGGGGUUGUCCCCUAGAAUGUAGUCCACCUAUAAAGAAAAUAUCAAAUAUCAAUACCAAAGGAACACACACACAUACGGCACACUUCGCAAGGUAAUUUGAAAAUUAACAACAGAAGAUAUGGCGAGGCAUACUAUGAUCCAUGUGAUCAUGAAAAUGAUAGCAUUCUCCAUAUGAUCAUAGAAACACCAUUUUCACCAUAGUUAUGACCGUCUGGACAAUUGAUUGAUGGUGAUGAAUGGAGAGUUUCCACCACUUGGGUCAUGUCAUGUUAUUGUUGUCGAAACUCACUCCAUCACAAUCGAUUAGACGAUCAUAAGAAUUAUGACCAUUGUGUUACUAUGGUCAUGUGAAAUAUAAUACUCUCUCUCACACACACACAUUAAAGAUACCUGUUUCUUGGCUAGUCUUCUUAGUGUAGGACCGUUGACAAAGGUACCACCACAAUUGAAGGUGUGAUGCGAAGUCAUCAUGUACUUUGCAUAUGUAGAGAGCAAAAAGCUUAUGGAUGUCACAUAUUGGAGGUUACUCGAACUUAGCUUGUAAAUAAGUCCACCUGUGCAUAUGCAAUAACAUUCACAUGGACUUCUUUAUCUUUCAAUCUUGGUAACUCAGUAAAUUUUAUUAUACUUUUCCUAAAUAAAAAUGUACCAAUGUUUUAAAUUUAGAUUGGAUUACUCACCCACUAGUUUUGAAUCGAACUAGUCAAGUUAGUGACUGGCUUUUGCAAUGAGACGAAACCCAAAAAAAAAAGCAAAAUGAAAGAAAAAAUUUUGGUUAAAAAAUAAAAGAAAAUUGUAGACAAAUUUGAAAAAGUUUAAAAUGUUUAGGCAAAGGUUGAGAAGAUUUAUUAGGGUGUUAGAGUAUGUUAUGGGGAGAAAAUCAGUUAGGGUUCCCUUCUAGUUAUGGUUCAAUUGAGGCGGUUCCUAGUUACAACGCUGGACUUUCAAAUUUUUUUGGCCACUCAUUAUCCUUGCUUCAGAACACAAAAAUUUUCGAGCAAUGAUAUUUUUUACAAUUAGAAGGGACAUAAUAGAUAUUUUUGUAAAAAAAAACUUACGUUAUUCUUUUUAUGAUUGAAAAAUAAUUAAUACUCUAUGUGAGUGAUAUCAUUAUCUCAUAUGGAUAAUGUCAUUCUCCGCUAUAGUUAAUAAAUAUUUUUAUUUCUAUCAAGAAUUUCUAUUUUAUCCUUGUUAAUUAUCUAAAAUAUCGAUAGACAUAAAAGGUACUACACUGCAAGGUAAGGGCAUCAAGUAACAAAAGCUUUUGAAUACAUUAAAAAAAUACUCUAUAUAAAAAUACUCUCACCAAACCAUAAUUUAUAUUUCUAAAUAUGAUUAACCCUCAAAUGUAUUUGGGAAUAACACACUUGUGGCAAUCUACUUUUAAUUUUCAUUUAUGUUAUGGACUUCUCCAUAUCGAUCAUAACUCUCUAUCUAUCCCUGUCUUUCUCUUAAUAAUAACGAAAACAAGAAUCACACCUGGUGUAUAUGUUGUUGUUGACGAGGGCGAAUUUGGUAAAAUGCUACACAUGAAUUUCUCAGCUUCCAUUUGGAAUUGCUUGAAAGUUGGGUCCCCAUUAACCAGAGAUCUCUAGCAGUCCCACAAAAUAAAAACAAAAUUAAAAAUUUAUACAACCAUCUUAUCAAAAUUAAAUAAAUUUAUAUGUAUAUGGAGAUACAUACAAAAAACUGACUUUUGCUGCACAAAAGAUCAUUUACCCUAGAAAGAAGAACACGGGCACCAGCAAAUUUGUUAUCCCAGCUGAAAAUAUCGGCAUCAUCAUCGGCACCCAAAGACCGUAUUAGAUUAAGAUAAUAAACAUCAUUAGUUGCCCUCAAUAACCAUGUGGCUCCCCAGAGCAGCUCAUCCUGAUAACCAAGAACAGUCAUUAGCCAGUGUCCUCGCGAAAAUAUAUGAGAUAAAGGUAUGGGAAGUUUACACGAAUUUUAUUUUAUUUGAAGUACUUUACUGAAAAUCACAUGUCGAGUCAUAAAAAUCUAAAAAUAGCUGAAAAUAAAAUAAUAAAUAAUAUUAUGUGAAGUAAAAGUUAUGUACCAAAUAGGCAAAAAAAAAAAAAUGCAUGGUAUAUUAAUUUCAGAUAAGAUAAUCCACUCCUAAUGAGAUUAAUUGUCCUCCAAACAUACCUGAGAGGGGCAACAUUGGCCUUUAGAAAAUAUUGCACUCAACUGAAUUGCAAAUCAACUAAUCCAUACCAGUUUAAAUAUUCGUAUUUCUAUCAAGAAUUUCAAUUUUAUCUUUUAUUAAUUACCUAAAAUACCCAUGAAAUAAAAAAAUUAUUACAUAGUGGGAUAAGGAUAUCGAGUGUCUAACAAUGUUUAGUACAAUAAAGAUAUACUAAUGUGUAUAAGUACCCUAAUAUAACCCUUUAAAAAAUGAUGAUUUGGAUUAAAAUCAUCCAUUUAGAUUGGAAAUUGAUAGAACCGGUCCGGUUCCCACUAUAUAUUGAAAAUUGACUGGUUCUCUGAUAAAGCUGGUCUAUUCUGUUAGGGAAUUGAUCAAUCCUGCCUACAUUUUCAAUUUUUUAUUUUUUAUUGACCAAUUCACUUGAGUGGAUUACAAAUCUGCCUACCUAGGCCAGUUUUCAAGAGGGCCGAUCCAUCCAACCAAUCUGUUUUUUCUCAACCACUGGUCAACAAUAUUUCUAAUGGGCUCUCACCUCUCCUUUCUUAAAAACUAAAAUGUGUCCAUGAUCUCUCUCUCACUACACCACAUUCAUUAAACACUACUUUCAAUGUGUCCUCUCUCUCCUUAAAUACUAAAAUGGUCAAUCAUAUCUCUCCCUCUCUAACACAUGCAUUAAACACUAUUUUCAAUGGAUUCUCUCCCUUCUAAAAUAUUACAAAGGUUAGUGAUCACUCACACACACAUUAAGCACUAUUUUCAACAAAUACACUAAGAUGGUCAAUGAUCUCUCUCUCUCUCAUAUUUCAUACCUUAUAGCCCGAAUAGGAGCAAUAAAAGGGGCAAACAGCCGAACCAAGUGAGUCACUAUAGGCCCCUCUAUGCUCAUAGGCAAAGGCCAUGACCUUCUUUGCGGUGGAUAGCAACACCUUCGAAUAUCUCCUAUCCACCUUCCUAAACACCAUCGAGGCCGCAGCAAGUGCGGCCGCGGUCUCACCGGCCACGUCCGAGCCAGGGUUCGAUGGUGUAACUUUGUACACGUCUCGUGUUGUGUCCAUGUCCUCUGGCCUCUCCCAGCACCUUCAUAUCAUUAAAAACACAAUAAAUAUUAAAUAUUAAAAAGGUUGCUAGUACGUCUAGGGUUAAAAGGUGCACAAGCACUUUUUGAUGGUUAAGAUUGAAACUAGCUUCAUCAGGGUCAAAAUUUAUUUUUAUUUUUAUUUUAUAUUUAAUUUCGAAAUUAUAUUUAUCCGAAAUUUGAAUUUUAGCUUCAUUUUUAUAAUAAUUACGUUAAAAAAAUAUGAACCAAAAUACAUUUUGGUGUAUUUUGGUGAUUUUUAUUUUAAUUAUUUUUUAGUUCUUUUUUAUAAAAAUGAAUUUACAUCCCAAAAUUUAGAUAAUAUAAGAUUUAAAUAAAAUAAAAUAAAAAAAUUAACUUUGUGGCCCAUUGUGAAAUCUAAACCGUUAAGAGGGUGCUUUUCACAUGAUGUGGAGGGGAUACGUUCCCUUUUCUCAAUCGUAAAUCUUUGAAUCCACCGGGCCAAUGAAAUUCAUAUUCAUAGAUAUAGGAAGAAGCCUCAUCAAAUAGAGAUUUUUUUCUCUAUAAUCACCUGAUGUUUAUUUUUUAAAUACUUAGAUAUAAUUUUCAAAAAACUGAAAGAUCUCUGUGCUAUUUUUCUAGAUAAAUGAACUGUGCUAUAUUUUACGUUGUAAUUUUUUUCAGAACAUGUCAAGACAUAUGGUUUCUUUUUCACAAUAUCAGUUUAGUUUUUAAAGGAUGGGGUUUUUAUAAGUCAGCCUACUCAUAUAUACACAUGCAGCCCUCCUAUAAAAUCCAUUUUAAAGAUGGACUUUUUUAUCCAAAUCUUUAUAGAUUCAUGAUGUAGGCCAAGAUGAAUAUGAAUAUGAAUAUGAAAGAAAAAAAAUUUAAAAUUUUAAAUUGUAAUAUUUAUUUUAUAUUGAGAUUUUUUGAUGUCCAUAUGUAAUAAUGUCCGGUGCACUUUUAGACACAUGGACGCUUGUGGGUCAGAGGCCUCUUAAGUUGUUGACUCACAAAACAUUUUCUUUUUUAAAUGUUGAUUGCUAGAUCAAGGAGCUGACAUCCCCCAACAUUUGGGUUCUAGAAAUGGAUUAUGAGAAUUUUUUACAAUGAAAAAGCUUAUGAGUAUUACUGAGGGAGUGGAUGUACUAUAUACUCCCAUGGGAGCAUAUAAUUUUCACUAGGUGAGGUUUAGGUAAUGUGCCCACUUUAUAUUAUACAAGUAAUCAAAACAUCUAAAUUGAAUAGACGUUGUUCCGGUGUCAGAAACUUUCUGAUUGUUUUAAAAUCAAUGUUCAACACAAAUUAUAAAAUUCCAAAUUUCAAAAAUAGUGUAAAUAUAGCAGAUCUAUAAAAUACUACAAAAUUUUAAUAAUAGAUAGUCUAGAUACCUUAUUACAAAAUACAUUAUUUUUAAGACUUGAAAUUUUUAUUUUUCUUUAUGUUUGUACAUCUCAAAGUCUAUAUGAUCAAUUGAAAAAUAUUUCAGCUUCGGAGCACUCAUUUCUAUUAGAUUUUUUAGAAAUAUCUUCCUUCUAUAGUAUAAAGUUGCAACCUUAUAUAAAUUUUUAAGCAUGUGUACUAUCUCCUUGGCUAACAUAGUUUACUUUUUCUCUCUUGGUCAGAACACAUGGGAGGAUUUUUUCAAUCUGAAUUUUUGAGAACCACUUAAUAAUUACUAAAUAAUUAUCCUCAAAAAACAAAAAUUAAAAUUUGAGUUGUGCAACACUUAGAUGUCACCAUCGUAAAAUUGGAGGAGUCUCUAUUCAAUCUCUAUAUAUUAUUUUGUUCAAGUAUAUAGAGGGAAGAAUUAGAAGAAAAACAAGUUAUAUAUAUAUAUAUAUAUAUUUUAGUGUAUGGGUAGAAGAGGUUGCAUCCCCAAAAUUUGAAAAGUGGUGUAUUAUCCGAGGGAGUAAAUAAACAUUCUACUCCCGAGGAAGUAAACUAUCUUUUGGCUUUUUUUUUAUUUUUUAUUUUCCUGGGAAGUUCUUCUCUUUUCUAACUUUACACACCUGUGGUCCGUAUUGGGAUCACCUACUCCAACAUAGAGAGUGUUGGGAGUUGAAGUGGAGGCCUUUAGAAGGUAGUCUGUGGCCCACCGAAUGGCCUCGCGAGUGGGCUCCAACUGAGAGGCCAUGCGUUUCCCGAACUCCAGAGCGGACCACGAGAGCAUGGUGGUCGCGAAGGCCAUCGGAAAUCCGAACUUGACGUUAUCCCCCGCGUCGUAGUAACCUCCGCUCAGGUCCACCUGCGCUUCCACACCGCCAAACUCAGUCACUCUUUCUUUCUCUCUCUCUCUCUCUCUCUCUCUCAUCUACAAGUGCUUGGAGAAAGAAGGGAGACCUAAACUUAUUGACUGUAACCGGUAACCACCCGGUUACAUCGAAACCUACAAUGGUCCGGUUCAUGCUUCAUCACGUUUAGGUGACCGGCUAGGUAUUUUUAAAACUAAUUUAAAAAAUAUAUAUAGAGUUUUAAAAAGUAAGGGAUUUUGUUUGUGACGUAUUUUUUUAGUGUUUUUCAUCAUUACGACAAAGAUUAGAAAUAGUUUUGGCCAUUAAUACUUAUUUUUACAUAUUUUUUUGUCUUUUUUUUUAAAUAAGUAAGAAUACCCUUGGGCCUAAAUCAAUUAUUUAAAAUCUAUUUUGCAUUAAUUUUUAAUUUUAUUUGAAUGUGCUUUGUUUAAUCAUUUUUUCUAAUAUAUAUAUAGUCGUGGGAGGCAAGGNACACAGGGGAUAGGNNNNNNNNNNNNNNNNNNNNAACACUUUUUUGACCACUCAGGGCCUUGUCCGAUUAAAAUGGUUGAACCGACCAGUUUACCGGUUAGGCAAGUUGAACCGCUUUCAAGGCCAUGUCUGGUUAACUGCUCCGUUAACAAUACUUUUGACGUUAUGUUGAAAGAAAAAAAUUAUACAAGAUGACAAAAGUAAUGAGCACUUCCAAAACUCACUCAAAAUAGUCAUUCCCAAGUUGAAGAACUCUCCUGGUUGAUAAAUAUCGAUUUUAAGAUGUAUAGACAUAUAAAAAAGAAAAGGGUUCAAAAGAACAUUAGCACUUGACACAUUUGGGACAAGAGUUAGGGUCAUGGUGGUAGCACCCCACACUCUGGUUACCACCUUAUAGUUUUUGUUCCCACUCCACCACCCCAUUAAAACCUUCAAACAAAAUCGGAUAGGAGUCUGCCUUCUCCGCUGAAUUACCCAAAAAAACCUACUUGUGACACAUUGUCUGGUUCGUCUAUUUUAAAAAAAAAAAUAGCUCUUUAUGGAUCUUCUUGAUUUACAUCUUAUUAAGAGCUUUAAACAUCAUAAUUAAGGGUAAAAAUCAAUGUUGAGGCCAUCAUAAUGCUUUUUUGGGGUCAAAACUGCACUUUUUGCAAGAUUUAAAAGUGCACCUUACUUUAAUUGUUUAAGAUUGAUGCUUUAUAUAACCUGCAACUAAAAGCAAUGAGAAAAUUCUCUUUUGGAAAUGAGAGUAAUGGCCCAGCAUGUGGAAAUAAGUGGCAUUUUGGUAAGCCUUUCAAAAUAUUUCCAUGAUUCCCCAUUUGAGAGGGAGAUACACACUGAGAGAAGGUGUGAGAGAGAGAGAGUGUGUAUAUGAGAGGGAGAGACAGAGAGAGCAGGUAUGAGAGAGAUGGAGAACAAGUGUGUGUGUGUGUGCGUGCACGUAUGUAAAAGAGAGAACAGGUCCAUGAGAGACAGGUGAAUAUGUGUUUGUGUGUGUGAGAGAGAGAGAGAGCAAAUGUGUGUGUGUAUGUGAGAGAGAGAUAUGCAUGGAACUUACAUGAGCCCUCGAUCCAUCAGAUAAGCCUGAAUCAGACCUCCAAGUAAUCUUCUGACUUGGAGGAAUCUUUCCUGAUCUUUGCCCCUCAAAAAACAAUAUUGACUUUGCAAGUGCAUCCUUGUAGUCAGGGUGGCCAUGGAUAAUCCUAACAAGGAAUAAGAGAGAGAAAAUCGAAAAUAUAGAGAGAGAAAGAGACAUUUGCUUGGCCAUUGAAGGCUAAGAAAAUGUUAGAGAGAGAGAGGGGGAUAUUUCCUUGGCUAUAGAAGGUGCAGAGAGAGAGAAAGGGAUAUGAAAAUGUAGAGAGAGAAAGGGAUAUUUAGAGAGAGAAGGAGUUGUAGAGAGAGAAAAUGAUAAUUUCUUGGGUAUGGAAGGCCAAGUCGGUUGCAUGCAUGCGAUAUGGUUGAAGAUGGGAAGGUAUUUUAUAGGCAACGAGAAGGAAAUAAAGAAUUUAAGAAGGAUUAAAUGGAUUUUAUAAAGCAACGCAAAUUGUGGCUUUUCUCUAUUGCUUUUUUUUUGACCUUUACUCUUUUUUAUUUUUAUUUGCUUUUGGCGGUCUAAGUGGGGGACUGCGGCGCUGAUUGCUUGGCGCAGUUCUGCGCGCCGAAUGGGAAAAAGCCUAAAAUGAGUGGUCUGGUUUUGAGAGAGAGAGAGAUGGUUUAGAGAGAGAGAGAGAUACUUUGAGAGAGAGAGAGAGAGAAGGGGGGUGCAGUGCCACAGGUAAUUUAUUGCAAGAUUGAUGUGUAUUAGAGCUAGAAAGCAUAUGACUGAAGAAAUUUCUAACACAUGAGAGAGAGAGAGAGAGAGUUUUUUGGUGUUGUCAGACAAGGAAUUUUGGAGCAAAAUCAAUGUGUAAUGGAAGGAGAAGAAAAAAAUAAAGGCAUUUGGUGACAUGAGAGAGAGAGAGAGAGUUAAUCAAGGAAAACAUAAUUGGCGAGGCGCCAAAUUUUGACAGAUUGUGGUUGAAAACUUGAAAUGUAGAUAGAAAGCAAAUUCCCCUCAACAUUCACACUACUUAAUUGCCUUGCCCACCAUUAGUGCCGCAACUCUCUCUCUUCUUAAUCCCUCUCUAGUUCUGGUCGAUAUCAAUGACCACCACCCAUUGUAGGAAUAAUCCAAAUUGAACGAAUAAAUAGAUAUGGGGCAGGAAGUGGUUCAAUCGGCCUAACUGAGUAAUCUUUAGGGCCGUCUAAAAAGGUUAAAAAAAUAAAAAAUAAAAAUAAAAUCUAAUAAAAAAUGAACGUAUGAUUAAACAAAAUACAUCCAAAUGAAUUUGAAAAUUAAUGAAAAAAAUAGAUUUCAAAGAAUCAAUUUGUUCCCAAAAAUAUUUUUGAAAUUUUUUUUAAAAAAAAGAAGGGAAAAAUAUAAAAAUAAUUACUAAUAGUAAAAAAAAAUUCAAUCUAUACCAAAAUGAUGAAAAAAUUAAAAAAAAUACAUUAUAAACAAAAUUUCUUAAUUUUUAGAAUUGUAUAUAUUUUUAUAAAUACAGAACUCGAUCACCAAAACCGACCGCAUACCGAUCUAACCGAACAGUUAAAAUUUGAACCGCGAGAUUUUUCCUACACUGCCACCACCGUCCCUCUCACUCUUAUUUGGCAUCUUACCUUACCAAUCAAUCUCUCUCUCUCUCUNNNNNNNNNNNNNNNNNNNNNNNNNNNNNNNNNNNNNNNNNNNNNNNNNNNNNNNNNNNNNNNNNNNNNNNNNNNNNNNNNNNNNNNNNNNNNNNNNNNNNNNNNNNNNNNNNNNNNNNNNNNNNNNNNNNNNNNNNNNNNNNNNNNNNNNNNNNNNNNNNNNNNNNNNNNNNNNNNNNNNNNNNNNNNNNNNNNNNNNNNNNNNNNNNNNNNNNNNNNNNNNNNNNNNNNNNNNNNNNNNNNNNNNNNNNNNNNNNNNNNNNNNNNNNNNNNNNNNNNNNNNNNNNNNNNNNNNNNNNNNNNNNNNNNNNNNNNNNNNNNNNNNNNNNNNNNNNNNNNNNNNNNNNNNNNNNNNNNNNNNNNNNNNNNNNNNNNNNNNNNNNNNNNNNNNNNNNNNNNNNNNNNNNNNNNNNNNNNNNNNNNNNNNNNNNNNNNNNNNNNNNNNNNNNNNNNNNNNNNNNNNNNNNNNNNNNNNNNNNNNNNNNNNNNNNNNNNNNNNNNNNNNNNNNNNNNNNNNNNNNNNNNNNNNNNNNNNNNNNNNNNNNNNNNNNNNNNNNNNNNNNNNNNNNNNNNNNNNNNNNNNNNNNNNNNNNNNNNNNNNNNNNNNNNNNNNNNNNNNNNNNNNNNNNNNNNNNNNNNNNNNNNNNNNNNNNNNNNNNNNNNNNNNNNNNNNNNNNNNNNNNNNNNNNNNNNNNNNNNNNNNNNNNNNNNNNNNNNNNNNNNNNNNNNNNNNNNNNNNNNNNNNNNNNNNNNNNNNNNNNNNNNNNNNNNNNNNNNNNNNNNNNNNNNNNNNNNNNNNNNACUACUACUCUCUCUCUCUCUCUCUCUCUCUCUCUCUCUCUCUCUCUCUCUCUCUCUCUCUCUCUCUCUCUCACACACACACAGCCAGCCGAGGAUAAGAGGAAAUGAAAGUAUAAUGGUGGUGUGUUUGUGAUCGAGGAGGCAUCAAGUUUUGCUGAGGUUAUACCCGACCAUGGGCAUUGAGUAUUUAGGGUUUGGUCGUAAGGCCCAAGGCACUAUGCCCUUUAAAUAUGGAUGCCUUUUCCCAAUCCCCGCCGUAGAUGAAGCCUCAUCCUUUCCCUUAUUCCCCCCUCAAACUGUUCAAUGUAUUCAUUUAUUUAUUAUUUUCUUCAACUUGAUUCUUAUAUUUAUUAUUCAAUGGAUUCGUAUUUAUUUGUUAAGAGUCUUAGGAAUGGGAUUUGUUUGGGAUCUGGCCCUUGAGCACGCUUCGACUUAGAGAGAGACAAGAAGAUGUUUCCUUUAAUGGAAAGAUACACUUGUGUAGUUGAAGGGUCUCAUAAUGGUCUCAAGAUUAAGUAGUUAGGGUAGUAGGGCGCCUUUGUUUUUGUUUUUGUUUUUUUUUUUUUUUUGUUUUUUUUUUUUUUGAAAUCAUGAGUUUCUUUGCUACUAUAUGUAAGAGGUGUUUUUUUCUGCUGAACCCUUAAUGGUGGAUUACUAUCUCAAUACGGCUAUCUAUGUACAUGCCGUGUGAUGGUACAACGAUAAGGUUUUAGUUCUAUCUCUAUAGACUAUUCAUCACACAUAAUGAUCACACAGUCCCUCAGCUCUUAUCCCGGCAUACUCCGACCUCAUCAAGAGCUAAUCCAUUAAACCCUCUUCGAUUUUAUCUCUAUGCCCAGGUGCUUUGGGUUUUCCAACUCAGCUAGCCUGAAUUUAUACAAUCUCUCUUAAGACCUUUAAAGGCCACAUAAACUCAACAUAUAUUGAAAAUUUUUUCUAUUUUAUAUAUAUAUAUAUAUGGGCUCAAGCUCUAUGACAUUCAAUUUUCUGGACGGGUUAGCUUGGCCUUCAAUGAUAUAGUUUGAGCUUGAUCGGGGCCAUAAGUCAUAAUUUGUUUUUGGGCCCAAGCCGAGCACAGCUAAAAAAAAUGUGUAUUGGGCUUGAGCCAGGUCUAACCCAGCCCAAGCCCAAGCCCAAGCCCCGCCUAUUUGCAGCCCCGUAUAGGUAGAAAAACCAAAGAGGUGUGCGUGUGCCAAAAGAGUGUGAAAUUUAUAUGUAUGCAUGUACAUGCACGUGCAUGCACACGCACACAUAGUGUGAGAGAGAGAUGGUAUGCUCAUGUGUAAGAAAGAAAGAAAUGCAAAACGGACAUUCAAUGUGUGUACAUUCAACAACAUGAAAUAAGGGAUUGAGAUUUGGUAAAGUACUACAUAGAAAAGAAAAAAAAAUAAAAGUGCAUAUAUGCAUAUUGUAAAGUACUAUAGUAAAGCAUGGGACGAUAUGGACCAUUGUCCUCAACGAUGGGUGGUGGAGAUGAUCCAUCUCAACCCAACCAUUACAAAAGUGCAAUGAGCUUCUCGUGUCUCAUGCUUGUCGCACAGGACGCAUGCAAAUAGUAUAAAGAAACUCUAAGCAGUUAAAUAAUAGCAAUAGUAUCAUUUUAUUAUUGUUAUUAUUAUUAGGAAAAGUUGCAAUCUUAUGAUAUAGAAAUAAGGUGCAUAUAAAAAAUCCAAUAGAAAUGAGUAUUAUGAGGUUGGAAAACCCACCGGUUGAUCAUCUCGACCUCCAGAUGUAUUCAUAUUAAUAGAAUAAAGAAUUUCAAGUUUUAAAAAUAUUAUAUUUUGUAAUGAUACAACCUUUCAGUUAAUCAUCUUGACUUCAAGAUAUAUGGAUAUCAAGAUAAUAAAGAAUUUCAAAUCCUACAAAUAAUGCAUUUUGUAACACUUUAUCUAGACAGUUUCAAAAUUGUAAGUGAUUAUAGUUCUCUUCGAUCUACGCCAUUUCAAAAAUUUUAAAUUUUAUAAUUACAGUUGAACAUAAAUUUUCAAUCCGUUAUAAGGUUUUUGACAUCAAAACAGUAUCUUUUGAUAAAAUUUAUAAGGACACCUUUUAUAUAUAUAUAUAUAUAUAUAUAGUUAUACGGUUUAAAGUGGACACCUUAUACAAAGUCACAACUUACAAACCUCACCCUAUUAUUUUUGUUUGUUGUUUUCGCAAAGAAACCAUUGUAUAUAAUAAACAAUUGAAAGAGGCUCUCUCGAGUUAUGCAACAAUGAUUUCACAACACUUUUCAAAAAAAUUGGACCAAAGAAAAGGCGGGGGAAGACAGAUUCAAAAGAAAGAAAAAGGAAAGGCUAAUAAAUGUUAAAGGAGAGCGGGUAUUGCGUACUCCCGCCGGAGAAUAUGUACUCUUGCUCUCUCGGACAAAGGGCCACAAUUUUUAAAUCUUCAAUUAUGGGAUCCAUAAAUGAUACACUAUUUGCAAACUUAGAAUAAUCAAUGUUUCAUCCAGGUGAAAUUGGACUUCUAAAAUCCGGUAGAAAUCGGAGAAUCCAGUGAGGAAUGGGUCCAUGAAAACAGAAUUGAUAAAUAAAAUACUAAAAAUAUAAUGUGUGGGAAUUGAGAGAAUCUGACCGAUCCAGAUCCCCCAGCUCCUUACGGACUUACCAAGUUCCCUGACAGAACUGUGCCAAUCCACUCAAGCUUGACAUAUACCUCAUUUCGACAAGGAGCCUGGUUGUUAGUGACCAAUUAACAAUAGUUUUCGAUGAUUUGCCUUCCAGACUGGUGAGUUUUAAAUCACUAAUCAUCCAAAAAUUGGACUACCUCUAUUUCAUAUUGAAGUGCUAUACUUUUUAUGCAGAUAAACAAGAUAGUUAUUAAGACCAAAUGAGAUUGUUUGGUCCAACUGCUCAUAUCGUCACCUUAGCAAGUUUAGUCUCAAUAAAAAAUCAUAUUUACUUGAAAACUGAUCAAAACCAAUAUUUGACUAGUUUGACCAGUCGGACCAAUCAAUUUUUAUCCAUUAAAAUAACUAAAUAAAAUUGUAAAACUUUUUUGUAAUAUAUUUUAUAGCUUAAAUUUUUAUUCCAAUUUUUUUUUUGUAUGUUGCUUAACAUUUGAUUGGUUUUGACUAACCCAUAUCCUCAUUCGCUAGUCUAGGUCAAACAGGUGAAUACUUCUGGAUAAAGAGUCAAGUUCGUCGAACUAGACUAAUUCUCAGUCCCAAAAAUUAAAUGAUAAUUUCAAUUUUGAAAGUAAAAAAACUAAAAUAAUAAAAAUGGGUUGCAACCGGGCAAAUCACCCCUUUCCUGACAAACUCGCUUCAUUCUCUAUCAAAACAGGGCCUGUAGGAAUUUGACUCGAUUCCCAAUUCCGACCAUGAGGGAAGACCAUUUUUACAAAAAGGGAAAGAUAGAGGAUGAUUGAAAAUGGUUUGGCAUGGAAGGGUGUGUUCAAUCAAAAGGAGUGUAGCAUUUCAACUUGAAACAAAGAAACUUAAAUGGAAAUCAUGAGCGCAAAAUAUUGGAAAAGCAAAUGUAUAAGCAUCAACUAUGGAGUGUCAUCACCAGUGUUGGUCAAAUUCGCUUUUUUCAAAUUUUAGAGUAGACCAAAGUAAACGUAUGCGAAGCAUGGUGCUAUCACUUUGGUUAGAUUUGGGCCGCUUCAAUCAGAUUUGGGUAUCCUUUAGGUAGAUUAGGCCGAAGUUUCGGCCUCUUCGUCCUAAGCAAAGAAUUAUCUAUAUAAAAGAUUACUUUUUUUGAAAUUUUUAUUUUAAAUUUUUAUUAUUUUUAUAUAUUUUAUAUAAUAUGUAAUUUAUCUAUAUUUAAAAAAAAAAAACCGAAGUCUUCCUUCAAAUAGGCCAAAGCACCGAAUUGUUUCAUUUUUCUCACCAAGCUGAAAAAGAUUCCGAAGUGAAUUUGACAAGAUUAGUUAUCAUACAUGCUAUUAUUUAAAACGCAUGCAUCAAUUAUUUAUGGAAAAGCAUUUCAUAUAGCCAUGGUUUUAUGUGUUGUAACUCAAAUCUCUUAGGAAAAUUCAGUUUCGACACUGAAAAAGCUAGACAUCAAUCAUCUCCACUUUGACAAUCAUAUUAAAAAAGAGUAAUGAUCCUAAGAUACCCUCCCACACCUAUGUGUAUAUGAUCCUAAAAGAUCACCAUUAAAUUUGGUACAGAUAUUUAGAAAAGUCAAGUCUCACACCCAUGUGAUGGUUUUUUUAGACAUUUGUGUCAUAUUUAAUGGUGAUUCUUUGAGAUCCUACUCGCACGAGUGUGGGAGGGACUCAUAGGAUCAUUACUCAUUAAAAAAGGUGGACUUCAAGCUCUAAAAAUAAUAUAUUUUGAGCCUUCAAAAAUCUAGAUUUAGACAAAAGUGUGUGAACUUCCUUCGGCCAAGAGACUAACUUCAAGAAAUAAAUAUAUAAAUAAUCAAAAAUCAGAACUCGAUCUACAUGCGCUUGAAGAAAAUAAUGUCUCAAGAUUUGAUGAGAAACCAUCCAAUUUUUGGAGGGUGAUAUAUGGAUAUUAAACACUUCUAGAACCGCUCAUUUUCUUUUUCGAAAUUAAUCAUCAAUUCUUAAGUGGAUCCCAAAAUUUCAAAAAAAAAAAGUGUUCCCAAAUAAGUCUUUUGCCUGAGAGAGCAAGACCACAGUAUACUCCAACAAAAGCAUAAUAAACCUGCUCAUUUAUAAAUCUGAUGUCUCAAAAGCCUAGGCAACUUAUGAGUGUGUUGUGAUGAACAUUUAUGGCUUUUCCUUUUUUGUUAUACUUCAUUAGUCAAUUGCUAAACCUUGAGCACAUCUAGUACAAGACCCACUUCCAAUUAAAUUUAUCAAAGCCAUUCAUGUUAAAGAUGUAAAAUAAGAUCCCCCACAUUAGGAUUAUCUAAAUCACUUUUGUAUUCAUAAUGAAAUUAAGGGUUAGACUAACUUAGUAACUUUAGCUGGGAGAAAAGAUCAAUAAAGCUGAGAAAUGUGAGUUUUCUUAGUAUUUUUCCAUCAGAAAAAUUGAUCAGUUUGGAUGUACCCAAAUAAAUUUCCACUUGCAAGACCUCAAUGGGGGCAUUUGGAUGGUGCAUAAGUGUGAUCUAUAUGCUAGACUUAUAUAAAUGGGUGAAAAAUUAUGCCUGUACCAUAAAUAAAAUAGGAAAUUACACUGAGGUCCAAAUUUUUGUAAAAUUUAGCUUGCAUGAAUAUUGUGGAAGCCGAGCGCUAAGAGGUUUAGAAGCCCGGACAGGUCUUUAGACCGUGAAUUUCACCGUCCAGAAACCUGUAUGAGGUUCAGGACCUCAAAUUCCUUGGCUGGUGUGAACAUUAUGCAAGCCAAAACAAUCCGAGGUUCUAGACCUCAUAAUGGUAACUAGAUUAUGAAAUUCACAGUCCACGGAUUAGUACGAGGUUUUUUUUUAAAAAAAAGCCUUCAUCUAAUUUUCAGAAAAGGCAUAUCUAAGAGUUUAGGAACUCAAAUUCGGUUUUGAACUACUUAUAUAAUAUGCACCUCGAGUUUUCAAAUCGCAAUAAUCCUAAACUUAUUCUCAUAUGAUCCCCAAAACUUUAUAUCGAAAUAAUCCUAUGGAGCAGCUCUUUCACCUGAGGGAGUAAAUUUACAGAUGCUCCCGCGGGAGCACACCAUACAAGUUUAGGGCUUGCUGAUUCAAGGACGGAAAAUUUUCAUUACAGCCCGAAAGUCAUGAGCGGGAUAAAUCUAACUGCAAAAUUACCAUUUAGAAGAGCAAAAGGGUGAGAGCAAAACCAAAAAAACAAGAAAAAAACCUCUUCAAUUAUCCGAUGAAGGCAAGAUUUUGAGUCUGGUAAGACCUAAGACCUAAUUUGCUUUACUUCUUCACUGAACGCAUUUGCACGAUGAGCUAAUUUUUGCAGAUAUGUUUAGAUGCAAGUUCAAAGGUUGAAUGUUUACAGAUAUCAAAAGUGGUUUCUAGAUCACCCAAUGUGGAAAAUAAAGCAUAAAUAGUUGAAUUUCAUUUAGAAGUUGUGGAAUUUGAAUGGUGCCAAUUUUGCCAACAUUAAAGAUACUGCAAUUUUAAAGUUUGAAUGUUUAGAGAUAUAAAAAAUGGUGGUUUCGAUCACAUCAAUUGUGGAAGAUAAUAAAAUAAUUAGUUGAAAUUAUUCUGAAUUUUGUGGAAUUUGAGUUGCAGAAAUGUUUUGGGGAGAUGGGUUUUGAGGUUUUGGAUGCGGGAUGCUUGCCAAGUGUGUGAAAAAUUGUCUCCGUGAUGGUUUCCUUAAAUGGAAGGCAAAUUUUCAUGUCAAAGCAUCUCUAUAGGUGCAAUUGUACUUUGGUUAGAUAAUUGAACUCUCUCUCUCUCUAUAUAUCUCUCUCUCUAUCUCUCUCUCUCUCUCUCAAUAUAUAUAUAUGUCUGUUUGUUAAUGGAUUUGCAUGCAUUAGGCGCUUUAUUUAGCUUUUCUUGUAUCAAUGAUAUCCUUCAAGUUUUUAGUUCUUUGUCUCUCUCUGCCAUUUAUUGACUUUGCACAUUUUGGGUCUUUUAUCUCGCGCUUCCUGUUUCACUGGCAUUAAGGAGUGAAUUACUGGCCCUCUUUCUCACCCAACAUUCUGCUUAAUUGACAUGCAUAUAGUGUUUCAUCUCACUUUUGAUCUAUCGAUGGCCAGUUUAUGGUCUCUCUCUCUCUCUGCAUUUUCUUGAAUUGCAUGUUUAGGGCAUUUCUCUUGCUCCCUAUGUUUUAAAGACAUACAUGGUUUUUGAGUUCUCUCUCUCUCUCUCUCUCUCUCUUUCUUUACAUUUUAUCGAGUUUUAUUGUUUUUGGUCACUUAUCUUGCUUCUCACACUUCAAUGGAAUUCAUGGCUUUUUAGUUUUUUUUUCUCUCCUGUUAAAAUGUGUCCUCAUGAAAUGGGGGAAACUGAUUUUCUGAUGCAGUGUAGGCAAAAAUAUGAUAUUUUUCCUUUGUUAUAAGAGAGCUUCUCUAACAUUAACAGAAGGUAUCGUCAUUGAACAUGUUGUUCCUGCAUGCAAUAGGUGUGUGUGUGUGUGUGUGUGUGUGUGUGUGUGUGUGUAUGUGUGUGUGUGUGUGUGUGUGUGUGUGUGAGAGAGAGAGAGAGAGAGAGAGAGAGAGAGAGUAGUUAGUUUAGGUAGGUUAAGUUAAAGAACGUAACGUUAGUUGGUUAGGUAGUUCGUACUAGUUAGUAAGUAAGUGUAGUAGUUAACGUAGUUAGUACGUNNNNNNNNNNNNNNNNNNNNUUAAGUAGUACGUACGUACUACUUAACGUAACGUAACGUAACGUAACGUACGUUACGUUACGUAGUUACGUACGUAGUUCGUUCGUUCGUCGUCGAGUGUAGUAGUAGUGUGUGUGUGUGUGUGUGUGUGUGUGUGUGUGUGUGUGUGUGUGUGUGUGUGUGUGUGUGUGUGUGUGAGAGAGAGAGAGAGAGAGAGAGAGAGAGAGAGAGAUUUUAUUGGGGAUUUUAGAAAAGAACGAAUUUCUUGGGAGUUGGUUCACUGUUGAAAUGUGAGUUACAAUUGUAGCAUAUUUCAUUUUCUAUAGCUUGUUCCAUGUGCUUGUUUUGCAAUAUCUAAACCUGAGAUUCCACCGGUUUGUUCUCCUACUGUGAUUUGUGUUUAUUUCAGGGCUUGUCUCAAAGGGUACCAUACUAAUUGCAUCGGAAAAUUACUGGAUUGUUUGGUGGGGAACGAACAGUGAAAUUGUGGUAAAAAGAUUUUUUUUUUCCCAAUUUCGGUCUCAUGAACCAAUAUGAUCUCUAAUGAUAUCAUAGAAAUAUUGUUUGGUAGGCCAUCCUUAGAUAGGUCCACAAUUUUGCAUACAAAUAGGUCCAAGCUGCAUUCUCUAUGGUGGAAAUAACCAUGACUGCCUUUUGUAUUGGAUGAGAGUUAAUGGCUUCAGUUUCUAAGUAUGAAAAAUCCAAUACUGAUUUUUGAUCAAUUGCAAACUUGUGUUUGUAUUUUGUGAAAGCCCUUCGUCCUGCACACCCUACAAGUGGAUUCAAACUGAGCUCUUACAUUAGCGUCUCCUGCCAGUGGAGAGAGAGAGAGAGAGAUUGCAAUAUGUACUGUUUAACACCUUUGUAUCUUUAUCAAGGUUUCUGGUAGUUUUACUUUUCUUCCUGGAAGCAGUGCUAGCUCAUUCAUUUGUGAAAUUUUUUAAUGUUCGGACCAUUUUGGGGUCUUUACAUUCUUUUGUAUACUGGUCUUUUCUUUUCUAAAUAUGUUCGGACCAUUUUAGGAGUCUUUACAUUGUUUAGUAAACAUGAAUAUAUUUGUUUUCUAGGCUGGCAUAUGUACUACUUAUACAGGAGAAGUUCGAGUUUCUAGUGUUUUUACUGCCCCUUCUCUGUAUGUGAUGGCUGUUUUAAUGGGACAAACUUUGUGCCUGCCAAGAAAAAAAGAGGGUUUUGUGAUUACUGCCUAAAGCUUGCUCUUAUGAUAGAAGAAAACUUAGAUGCUGACUCCGGUGGGGUAUGUUAUCUCAUGAACUCUGGCUCUAUUCAGUACUUUGUUUGUGCUACAUGUAUGUUUUGUUAGUUUCUGUCUUUGUGAUGUGGGGAUCGAUACCACUUUUCCUUCUCAUCUAGAGUGAAAAUGAACUUGAUUUUUAGCUGGUGUAUUAAUAAUUUUGGCCUUUAUCUAGAUUUCAUUUGGUCAAUUGUAAUAUUUCAUAAUAAAUUCUCAUGCUCUGUAUUACUUCGAUUAAUGCAAAAAAAGUCAAAGAAUACUUUUUCUCAGUGUAUAUUUGAUAUGUUUAUAUCUACCUUGGAAAACUCAAAUAUCUAUAUGUAUUGUAUGGGGAUAGGUAGAAAAGUUUUCAUAGGAGAAUUUAUGCUAUUGAAUAUUUUGUUAACCAGUUCCUUAGGUAACGAGGGCAUCACAUUUCAUUUUGACCCCCUGGGAUAAUAGGUCACAGAUGAAUUGGAUGGUUAUAAUGAGCUUGCCUUUAGUUCUCAAAAACUUACAAGAGCUGUGAAUCUCGCAACCCAAAUAGUGAGUUCGAACCUUUGCAUUUGUGGUCCUGGAGAACUAAUACUGCCAAAAUUGUAACCCUGACCUGCAUUAUGGAAGUAUGAUUCUAGUACCCUAAAUUAUAAUCUUCAUAAACCAAAAUUGAGACUCCCCAGAUAUUAAUUUGUGACUAGUGUCUGCCAUGAUUGAUGAUGUAAGCAAUGAAUGGUGGGUUGAUCAAGGGAUUCCAAAUCCUAUUGGGCCUGGAAAUGGUUGAUGGACGAGUGGUGCUUGAUUUUCAGUUUGCAUAUGACACGAGCCUUUUCUUCCUAAGGGUUUGUGUUAAGCUGCGUUAGUCUCAUGGCUGAGGAUAGACUUGAGAAGAGCUUGGUGAUGGGUUUACAGGGUGGAACUGGCACUCACUGCAUUCAGAAAAAAAUGGCAACUCAUUCAAAACUAUUAGACAAGCAGGGAGCACUUAAAGUUGUACCAUUGCACCAAUUGUGAAUGAUUUUUUAAUAGAGCAAGAUCUUGGACUAGUUGCAGGGACAUAACUCCAUUGAUGUUAUUCAUCUCUGCAUCUAAUGAGGGGUCCUUGAUGGACCCAUCCUCUAUUGGUUAUGAAUAGUUGUUUGUCACAAGGAGGCUCAAUAAGUUCAUAUACAUGUCAUUUUAGAACAGUUGUAUCAGCAUAGCACAGGAAUCUUCUGUCUAAGGCGGUAGUCCUACUCCUGGAUCAUGGUUCUGUGGUUCAUAAGAGGGACCAUGUUCAUUCUCUAGGGAACACAUUCCUUGAACUCUUUCCUUCGAUGAUGUCAAGGAAGAGCCCAUUCUCUCUUUUGGUGAGCUCUACUGUGGGGCUUACAGGAUGCACCAUAAGGUAAAUUUUGGGUUUUAAAGAAGAGGGAACAUUUUUAUUUGUGACCAAAUUUGAGGGAGAACCUGAGCAUUGCAAUUUUUUCAAUCAUCAUAAUCAUCAUCCAUGCCUUAUCCCAAUGAUUUGGGGUCGGUUCUCAUGAUAAGAUGUCGCAAAGUUUUACAAUGGCUGCCUAGCUUACGCAACCCACCUCCUUUACCCGAGCCCAUGAUUGGUUAAGGGAAAGUUUAAGGUCCUCACCCUUUUUUGAUCGUUUAAUUUAUUUCUAUUUAUAUUAUUCUAUUUAUUGUAUGGACGCUCCCAUGGCACUCCCAGUUUGGAAACUUUUAACAAGCAACAAUCCCCAGUCCCCCCUCCUGCCUACCAUUGUACGGGCUGAUUCACCUGGUCCAUGGUGAACCAAUGACUCCCAUUUUGUUAUUUAUGGACCCCUUUUUGUUUUCUAAUUUUUUUCAUUUCUUGGCACCUCCUUUCAGGAAUCUUAGGCGCGCGUGUGCAAUAUACAAUGGAAUUGGCUAUUAAUAUUGGCAAGUCAAACUUGUCUUUCUUUUUCAUGACGUAAUUGUCAAACAAAUCUUUCUUUUAGCUCUGUAUGUGAAACUAAUCAACUUCUCUCUCUCUCUCUCNNNNNNNNNNNNNNNNNNNNNNNNNNNNNNNNNNNNNNNNNNNNNNNNNNNNNNNNNNNNNNNNNNNNNNNNNNNNNNNNNNNNNNNNNNNNNNNNNNNNNNNNNNNNNNNNNNNNNNNNNNNNNNNNNNNNNNNNNNNNNNNNNNNNNNNNNNNNNNNNNNNNNNNNNNNNNNNNNNNNNNNNNNNNNNNNNNNNNNNNNNNNNNNNNNNNNNNNNNNNNNNNNNNNNNNNNNNNNNNNNNNNNNNNNNNNNNNNNNNNNNNNNNNNNNNNNNNNNNNNNNNNNNNNNNNNNNNNNNNNNNNNNNNNNNNNNNNNNNNNNNNNNNNNNNCUACUACUACUCUCUCUCUCUCUCUCUCUCUCUCUCUCUCUCUCUCUCUCUCUCUCUCUCGCUCUCUUUAUCUCUCUCUCUCUCUCUCUCUCUCUCUCCAUUUGCCUUUUUAAAAGCCCUCUUUUAUUUCAUUCAUUCUUUCAUCUUUUCAAACUUCAGACUUCUAUGUAAAAUUUCUUCUUUUUCACCUGAGGUUUCAAUUUUUCCUUUUUCGAUAAAAAAAGGGGGCCCAACCAGCUUGAACAUCAUUCCAAUUGCGAAAGACUGUACCCGACACUCAAUGUGCAAUCUUCUGAUUGCAAUACUAUUGCAGCCCUGAGUAAGAACAUGCUGUCUGGUUCUCAUAAAUCGUUUCCAGACCUGAGUAAAAAUGUUUUACAUGAGUGGCUAAGUAUUCAACGAUCCAUUUUUUUUAUAAGUAGCUUUGUUUCGUUGCUUGUUUAGAAUUCCACUUUCCAUUCCUGACAAUAAAAUUUAGACGAUUUUUAUUCCGUCCAUUCGGAUGUUUCUGGCCCUUCUCUUAUCCUCCGAGAGUCAGGAUCAAGCUAUUAUGGAAAUUUUUCUGAUGAUUACACUAUAGAUGGGUUUAUUUUUUAAGUGGAUGUUUGAAGUCUGUGAUGUAUUUGUUGCUUUUAUUGAAAUGGCUGAAAUUCAGUUUGAAGAAUCUAUGAAAGUAAUGCAUACUAAUUCUAGUGGUAAUUAUAUUGCAUGAUAGAUUAGGUUACAUUAUGAGUAUGUCCCUGAUUAAAAUGGUAAAACACAAGACAAACAUGGACAUAUCAUAUAAACUACAUGUUCCUGACUUUUGCCAUUCCGUGUUUGAAGUAGUUUGUGGGCCAGAGUGGGUUUACGUAAUUGAAGGAAUUUCAAUAGUUAUUUACCUGAUUAUGCUCGUCUUUAUGUUUUUGGAUGUCAAUUGUUUGUUGUAUCCCAUAACGUAGAAGGUCGUUGCUUUUCAGUCAAUUAAUUGCUUAUCUAUUGACUAUUUAAUGGAUCGAAACUGUUAUGGUUGCUAUCCAGAACAUUAUAAAAAAUUUCCAUGUCAUGUGCACUUUCCGGAAUUAGUUUUCUACUUUGAAUUCUAUUGUUCUUGUGAUGGCUAGGUUUUUUCCUUAUUGCCUAUGUCUGCUAAAAUAGAUGACAAAAGUGCUACCUUACUGUUAAAUAGGUACUCACAAUUUACAUAUGUAAAAUGGAAUGUACACAAAGUAUAUGAACAACUGUGGAGCAAUUGUACUUUGGUUAGAUAGUUGAUCUCUCUCUAUCUCUCUUUCUCUCUCUCUCUCUCUCUCUAUCUCUCUCUCUCCAUGAACCUAUGCACCGCAUCCGGCAAGCGCAUGCGCGCCUCAUCGUGUCUGGCAGUGCAUCCAACCCCUCCCACAUCGGCCACCUCCUUGCCUCCUUUCCCCCCUCCCCUCCCUUCUCCUACCCUCUCUCCAUCCUUUUCUCUCUACCCCAGCCCACUCCCUUCCCCUUCAACUCCCUGCUCUCUCUCCUCACACCUCCCCUCUCUCUCCUUCUCUAUUCUCUCAUGCUCCGCCGCCUCGUCGUUCCCAACCGCUUCACUUUCCCUCUCCUCCUUCGCUCAUGUGGCCGCCUUUCCAACCUCUCCCCUAUUCGGCAACUCCAUGGCCAUGUUCUCAUUCUCGGCCUCAGUUCAGAUUCCUACGUCGCAAAUUCUCUCCUCCACCUUUAUGCCACUCGAAAUGAGAUUGAAAAUGCUCAACUGGUUUUCAAUAGAGACCCCAACCCAGACACUGUGUCCUAUAACACCAUCCUCUUUGCAUACGCGAACUUUGGCAUGCUCGUCGAGGCCUGCAAUUUCUUUGACACAAUUCCAACAAAGGAUUCCAUCACCUGGAGCACAAUGCUAACUGGAUAUGUGAAACAUGAGUAUUUCACUCAGGCUUUGAACUUGUUUCGAGAUAUGGCACGACAGAGUCGAGCAUUGAUCACUGAGGGAAUGCUCGUCUCCGUGUUGACGAUUUCCGCUAAGCUCGAGGCACUGGAAUUCACCCACUUGGCCCACGAGUAUAUCAAUCGGCAGGGCUUCCCCUUGACUCCCAGUCUAGGGACUGCUCUCCUGCAGGCGUAUGCCACGUGUGGCUGUGUGGGUCCUGCAUCAGAGGUUUUUGGGGCCAUGCAGACUCGCGACCCACCUGCAUGGAACGCGAUGAUAUGUGCAUGUGCCAGGCACGGGCUAGGGGCAUGCGUGUUGAGCCUAUUCAAACAGUUCAUCCUGCAUGGGUUGGAGCCUGAGGGGGCCACACUAGUGGGCGUACUGCACGCCUGCGCUCACAGUGGCCUCGUGAGGCUCGGCAUGCACUACUUCAGGGCCAUGACUGUGGACUACCAUCUGGAGCCUGAGAUGGAACACUAUGGAUGCAUAGUUGACCUAUUGGCUCGAGCCGGGCUCCUGGAGGAGGCCAAAAUGGUCAUUUAUAAGAUGCCAUUCGAGCCGGACACCGCAAUAUGGGGCUCGUUGCUGAGCGCGUGCGGGACCCACGGGUGGACCGAACUAGGCAUAAAAUUGGGAAAUUUUCUCAUCGAGAUCGAGCCGGAGCACGAUGGUCACUAUGUAAUGCUGGCUGGGCUCUAUGCUCAGUGUGGGAGGUGGGAAGAGGCUUCACACGUAAGAAGGUUUAUGGAUGAAUGUGGAACUAAGAAAAAGACGGGGGUUAGCUUGGUACAUACCAAUAUCAAGAGUUUGCUGCUAUGAAGCUACAUGGCCAAGAUGUUAAGUGUGGUGUGACUCGAACUCGCCCGGUCAAACCCAAGGAUCAGCAGCCAAGUGAUUUCAAACGAAAAUACCAUAGAAUAUCCUGAGUCUCAAUUUUUCAUAUUUUUGAAAUUCUGUAUUAGAAAUUCUUUGAUCGAACUUGAGCUCAUCUGAGUUGGAACAGUGGCACAUUCGGGCUCGAGCCCUCCAAGUUAGAGGCUGAGUGCGACUUUUUAAUCUCUGGCUUGAUGGGGAUUGACCACAAAGCUAUUAAGGAGGAUCAUCAUCUUCUUUUUCAUCAUCCAAGCCUUAUUGCAACUAUUUGAGGUCGGUUACACGAGUCCUGCUCUUUCAUUCCGCUCUAUCGUUCCCUUGAUACAAAGCUAGUAGGGUGCACCAUGUAGCUAAAUGAGUCUCUUGAGCUCCCUUGACUUCAUUCUUUCUUCUGGUAAUAAUUAAACAUCUUGUAUUAUUUAUUUAUUGCAAAGACUUAUAGAAUUGGAAGCGUCCCCCUUGAUUUCAAAUAUUGCCAUUUCCCCAUAAAAAUGGCUCUACUUUUAAAUUUCUUUUGGUGGGUAAGGUAGGAUCUAAAUAAUGGCCAUUCGUGUGCUAGUUCCUAGUCCCUGUUACCUGACUUUGCAACAUACGUUUCUUGUUCUUCUUUUUUUUUUUUGUCAUAAAAAUGUUUUGCAAAUAAAGAGUAGCCAUUAAUUUUUAAAAUGAAUUUAUGGAUUUGUAAAGGUUACAUAUUACGUGCUCCUGUGGGAGCAAAUUGGAUACUUAUUCCAGCAAGCAAAAUGGCCCGUUUGCCGGGUUUUCUUGAUGCGAAAGUCCGUGAAAUAUCUGUGAUUUAUAAUUUUAAAACAAAGUUUUUAAGUUCUUAAAAACCUAGAUUUGACCUCCUAUUGAUGAGGGAUUUGAGUUCGUUGUUGGAGUGAAGUUUUAUUUGGAUAAUUUUUGUGGCGCAAAAUUAUUUCCUUUGUUGAAGAAUUUAUUAGUGAGAUGAACAAGAUCUAAAGCGGCAAUGUAGGUGCAGAAUUUGCUCCUAUGGGAGCACCAAUACUUUUCUUGGUAUCUGUAUUUUAUAAAGCCGUUUACUUUCUGUGCAAGGAGGUCACUAAGUACUUUAAAUGUGAAAUCUGACGGGUCGGAAUAGGUAAGAAGUAUGAGAAAUUUCAGUUUUGGACCUUCUGCCCGAUCAAUAGCACAAAUAAGUUUUAAAUUUUAUGGUCAACCUUAAUUGUGACCUCGUUACACUAAAAGUAAAUAGUCAUAUUGUACACUUUUCUUUAUCUUUUUACUUUAAAUUUCUAAUAUUCAUUUUUAUACCAUCUUUUAAUAGGAAAGGGUGGUACAUAACCUGCAUAAUGAAGUUGAAUUUCAUUUAAAAGCAAAUAAAAUUUACUAGCACCUCUAUAUUAUAUAGCUCAGCAGUUGCCAUUAGAAGUUUUUUCUUUGUAAAACUCGUUUUUAAAUAUGGGUGUGGUUUGUAUAAGGUUGCAACCUUAAAUAAUGUACAUUUCUCAAUUUUAUCAUAAACAUAAUUUUGGUGUAAAAAAUUCUUAGAUGGCUUGAGAAUCUAUUUCAUCUCUAAUUAUAAAAUAUUAAACUUCAAAAAUGGUUCAAAUCAAGUAGAUCUAUCAACCCUUGAAAAGUUUGAAAAUGGUAGGUUUAGAUGAUGUGUUGCAAGAUACAUUAUUUUUAGGAUUCGAAAUCUUCUUUUUUUUUUUUUUUUCAUAUUCAUACAUCUCGAUGUUGAGAUGAUCAAUUUGAGAGGUUUCCAACAUCAAAACAACCUUCUGUGAUAUGUUUUUGAGGUACACCUUAAUUCCACAUUUUAAGUUUGCAACCUUUUAUGAACUUUUUUCCUUUGAAUAAAGUCAUUUAUGAUUACUUUGUCACUUUGUGGUGGUAUGAAGCUAUUGAAGAGUAAAGCGCAAACCUCAAGAACUAAGUAAUGUGGAGAGGGCGGUUAUCACCAAACAGGGUACUAUCUUAAGGAGGAUUUUAAAAAAUGCCAACUUCAAUCGGAAUCACCUAAUCUAGAUUGCGAAUUGUUGGUACCAUUCUAAUUCUCACCAUGUAUUGUGAACUGUCUAGUUGCUCCUAGGAAUUUUUGUCAGAGUACCGGCCGGCCUUACCUUUUGUCUUUUAUAAUUUUUAAAUUUUUUAACUUUUUUUCUAUUCUUCAAUUUUUUUAAUGGCCAGUUCACUCUAUUGGAUCACUAAUCCAGACUAAUUUUUCGGAUGGGGGAUCUAGGUCACUGAUCUGUUUUUUUAAACACGGAUCCUGAUAUAUUCUAAAAAUAUAUAUCUACACAUGGAGUAAAAUGAAUAUGCCAUUUUUCCUUAUCCGUUUUAUCUCUUCCCUUUCAAUCUUGUCUAUCUGGCCUACGGGCAUGAUGCCAAUAGAAUCAUUUUCUUUAUAAAAUUGAUCACUUAAGAAUGUUAGAUCUAUGCUUGCAGCAUGGUUUUAACAUUUUGUUAAUUUAUUUGUCUUUUUUUUUUAUUUUGGGGCUUUUGUCCCAUCCAUACUUUGUGCUUUCAUUUUUCUCAAUGAAAUCUUGGUUCAAAUUUUUUUCUAAGGAACAAAAAAAAACUUGAAGAUGAUAUAUAAUAUUAAACUUAUACCUCUAUUGUAUCUGAUCUACAAUUAUAUAAGAAGGAAAAGUGUUUGGCGAGUCAGAAAACGCAUGCGUCCCUCGAAUCUUCAAUUUAAGAUAGUUUACACAAAUUAUUUUUUAAAAAAAAUUGAUUUUUUUAUUUUUUUUCCAACUUCUCCAUCAUUAUGGUUGUGAUUAGCAUAGAUCUAAAAUCCAUCUUUAUGAUAAACUUUAGAAAGGAAAAUAUUUUAAUAGGGUUGUAGCCCUCCCCUAAAAACUCACCAAAAAUCAUAAUUCUAGUGUUGGAAAACUUUUAAAUUGAUCAUCUUGGGCUUGACUAUCAUGAUUGUGAAAAAGAAAUCGGAUUUCAAGUCCUAAAAAUAAUAUAUAUCAUAAUACAUUGUCUAGACUACCUAUUUCGCCCUAAAAAUAAGUAUUUAUAGAUCUACAAGAUCUGUACUAUUUUUUGAGCUUCAAAUUUCAUAGUCAGUGUUGGAAGUUUAUUUUAAAUCCACCAUGGAGAUUUCAAUGCCCAAAGUACUUUCCGAACAAAGAUUCAAGAUAAGGCUUUAUUUUGUUUUAAACUUUUAAUAAAACUUAAGCUUUUUAGAAAUUACAUCUUUUUAGAAAAAGACACAUCAUUAUCAUCAUUUCAACUUUUUUUUUCAAUUAAUUACGGUUAGCUACAUGAAUCCCAUUCUACUCUAUUAAAUACCUUAUUCUCAAUGAGGCCACAAGUCCCCCUAUCUUUUGAGAGAGAGAAGGACACACUUGAAUAAAUGAAUUCAUGGGUUCACCAAAAACCAAUCCCUAUAUGAAAGCGUUGGCACGUGACAUCACAGCCGCACAAUUAUUUUGUGAGCAAUUUGCAUGUGAAGCCUUCACAUUGAAAGCUCAUCUCCACCAUCCAAACCUUUCAAAUUUGAUAAUAAUAUAGGAAAGUCCUAACGAGGUUUAAUCAUCAAUUAACCCUAAAAAGGUUUUAAAAAGAAAAAAAGUCACCCGGUUUCUAUGUGGCCAAGCCCGCAAGUGUAGAAAUGCGGGCUUCUUAAUAAAUAUAUUUUUAAGACGGAUUUUAAGAGUUAAUUUUUAAGUAGAUGUAAUAUCUAAUAUGGAGAUUAUGAAUACAAAAAAAUAAAUUUAAAAAAUUUAAAAUAAUAAUUUUAGUAAAAAAACAUUUGGACCAUUAGCUUUCCUUGCUUGUAAAUGGAACACCUACUUGCAUCCAUCUUGUUUCAAGAUUAAAAAGAAAAAGGGGUCGAAAGAAAAAAAAACUCUUUUUUUAAAAAACAUUUUGCCCUUUCCACUUCAUUGAAGUGCCGACUUUCAUUAGUAGUUGAGGGGGGGAGCAAGCACAAAUAGAGUACUGCAACUGCCUCUCUCUCUCUAACUGUCUACUGUUUAUAUUAUAAGCUUUAUAAGAACAUGUUUCUUUCUCUCUCCAUUACUGGGGGUGAUUUGAUUUCCUCAUCUCUCUCCAUUACUGGGGUGAUUUUCUUCUCUCUCUAUUACUGGGGUGCUUAGAGUUUACUGUUUAGUAAAGGAAAGGGGGAAAUGACGAAGGUGAAGAAGAGAAAGGAAGAGAUUGCAGAGGAUGUCUGCUUCCUCUGCAAAGAUGGUGGGGUGCUCUUAGUUUGUGACUACUCGUGAGUAGCCCCCCCUGUCCUCUCUCUCUCUACAAUUUGUCGAAAUUAAAGCGUUCUCUCUUUCUCUCUCUACAUUUGUUGGAAUUCUCUCUACAGUUUGUUCAAAUUAACGCCUUCAAUCUCUCUCUCUCUCUCUACAUUGUAUAUUGUUUGCAUGUUGUGGUUCCUUUAUCUCGCUCUUCUAGUUUCAAUGGAAUCAUUGGUUCUUCUCUCUCUCUCUCUCUGUUAAUGGAAUUGCAUGCAUUGGGUGCUUUAUCUAGCUUUCCUGUAUCAAUGGUAUCCUUCUAAUUUUGGGUUCGUUUGUUCUCUCUCUCUCUCUCUCUCUCUCUCUCUCUCUCUGCGAUUUAUUGAUUUUGCAUGUUUUGGGUCUUUUAUGUUGCGCUUCCUGUUUCACUGGCAUCAUGGGGUUGGGUACUUUCUCUCUCUAAAAAUUAUUGAACAUUAAGCUUUUUUCUUAGAAUCUCGCCCUCUUUCUAACCCACCAUUCUACUGAAUUCGCAUGCAUAUAGUGCUUCAUCUCACUUUUGAUGUAUCGAUGACCAGUUUUUGGUCUCUCUCUCUCUCUACAUUUUAUUGACUUUUAUUUUUUUUUGGGUUACUUAUCUUGCUUCUCACGCUUCAAUGGCAUUCAUGGCUUUUUAGUAUAUUCUUCUCUCCUAUUAAAAUGUGUCCACAUGAAAUGGGGGAAACUGAUUUUCUGAUGCAGGGUGGGCGAAAAUAUGAUGUUUUCCCAUUGUUAUAUUAUAGCUUCUCCAACAUUAACAGAAAGUAUCUUCAUUGAACAUGUUGUUCCAUGUGUGUGUGUGUGUGUGUGAGAGAGAGAGAGAGAGAGAGAGAGAGAUUUUAUUGGGGAUUUUAGAAAAGAAUGAAUGUCGUGGGAGUUGGUGAUGAUCAAAAUGUGAGUUACCAAUUAUAGCAUAUUGCAUUUCCUAUAGCUUGUUCCAUGUGCUUGUUUUGCAAUAUAAACCUGAGAUUCCACAGGUCUGUUCUCCAACUGUGAUUCGUGUUUAUUUCAGGGCUUGUCUCAAAGGGUACCAUACUAAUUGCGUCGGAAAAUCACCGGAUUUUUUGGAGGGGAAUGAACAGUGGCAUUGUGGUAAAAUGAUUUUCUUUUCUUUUUUCUUCCCCAAUUUCAGUCUCAUGAACCCAUAUGAUCUCUAGUGCUAUCAUAGAAAUUUUGUUUGGUAGGCCAUCCUUGUAUAGGUCCACAAUUUUGCAUACAAAUAGGUCCAGGCUGCGUUCUCUAUGGUGGAAAUAACAUGACUGCCUUUUGUGUUGGAUGAGACUUAAUUGCUUCAGUUUCAGUAGAAAUCUCCAAAUUAGUGUUUCUAUUUAAGUAUGUUGAUUUUUAUAAAUAGCAAACUUGUGUUUGUACUUUGUGAAACCCUUUUUCCUGCAAAGCCUACACUCUCUGUCAUUCAUUUGCCUGCGGGAGCUGCACUGUAAGGGGUGUCGAUUCAAACUGAGCUCUUAAAUUAGCUUCUCCUGCAAGUAGGUAGAGGGAGAGGAAGCGAGAGAGAGAGAGAGAGAGAGAGAGAGAGAGAGAGAGGGAGAGCGAGAGAGAUUGCAGGAUGUACUGUUUAACAUUCUUUUUAACUUUUUCAAGGUUGCUGCUAAUUUUAGUUUUCUUCCUGAAACCAGUGCUAGUUGUUUCAUUUGUGAAAACCUGUUUUAUUUGGGUUUUCCUUUUUAUAUAUUGUUUCUUUUCUAAAAUAUUUAACGUCUGGACCAUUUUGUACACUGUUUAGUAAACAUGCAUAUAUUUGUUUUCUAGGCUGGCAUUUCUGCUACUUAUGCAAGAGAAGUUCGAGUUUCCAAUGUUUUUGCUGCCCCUUUUCUGUAUGUGAUGGCUGUUUUAACGAGACAAACUUUGUGCCUGUCAAGAAAAAAAGAGGGUUUUGUGAUUACUGCCUAAAGCUUGCUCUUAUGAUAGAAGAAGACUUAGACGCUGACUCAGAUGGGGUACGUUGUCUCAUGAACUCUGGCUUUAUUCAGUACUUUGUUUGUGCUGCAUGUAUGUUUUGUUAGUUUCUGUCUUUGUGAUACAGGGAUUGAUACCAUUUUACCUUCUCAUCUAGAGUGAAAAUGAACUUGUUUUUCAGCAGGUGGAUUGAUAAUUUUGGCCUUUAUCUAGAAUUAAUUUGAUCAAUUGGCCCUUAAAAUUUGAUGACCUGGCCUAUAAUAUUUCAUAAUAAAUUCUCAUGCUCUGUAUUUCUUCAAUUAACGCAAAAAAAAAAAAACAGAGUCAAAGAUUACUAUUUUGCAGUGUAUAUUUGAUAUGUUUAUAUAUGCCUUGGAAAACUUAAGUAUCUAUAUGUAUUGUAUGGGGAUAAGUAGGAAAGUUUGCAUAGGAUAAUUUAUGCUAUUGAGUGUUAUGUUAACCAGUCCCUUAGGUAAUGAGGGCAUCACACUUCAGUUUGACCCCCUGGGAUAAUGGGUCACAAAUGAAUUGGAUGGUUAGAAUGAGCUUCCCUUUAGUUCUCGAAAAUUUACAGGAGCAGUGAAUCUCGCAACCCAAUAGUGAGUUCGAACCUUUGCAUUUGUGGUCCUGGUGACCCAAUCCUGCCAAAAUUGUAACCCUGACCCUCAUUAUGGAAGUAAACAUAAACAUUCAGUCAUGGUUCUAAUAACCUAAAUUACAAUCUUCAUAAACCAAAAUUGAGACUCCCCUGAUAUUAAUUUGUGACUAGUGUCUGCCAUGAUUGAUGAUGUAAGUAAUGAAUGGUAGGUUGAUCAAGGGAUUCAAAAUCUUAUUGGGCCUGGAAAUGGUUGAUGAACCAGUGGUGCUUGAUGACAUGAGCCUUUUCUUCCUAAUGGUUUGUGUUAAGCUAUGUUAGUCUCAUGGCUGAGGAUAGAUAGACUUGAGAAGAGCUCAUUCAAAACUAUUAGAGAAGCAGGGAGCGCUUAAAGUUGUACCAUUGCACUAAUUGUGAACAAUUUUUUAGCUAGAGGAAGAUCUUGGACUAGUUGCAGGGGCAUAACUCCAUUAAUGGUAUUCAUCUCUGCAUCUAAUCAGGGAGCCUUGAUGGACCCAUCCUCUAUUGGUUAUGAAUAGUUGUUUGUCACAAGAAGGCUCAAUAAGUUCAUAUACACGUCAUUUUAGAACAGUUGUAUCAGUAUAGUACAGGGAUCUUCUGUCUAAGUUGGCACUCCUACUCCUGGACCACGGUUCUGCAGUUCAGAAGAGGGAACGUGUUCCCAUUCUCUUAGGAACACAUUCCUUGAAAUCUUUCCUCCGAUGUUGUCAAGAAAGAGCCGCCUCUCUCUUUUGGUGAGCUCUACUGGGGGCUUACAGAAUGCACCAUAAGGUAAAUUUUGGGUUUUAAAGAAGAGGGAACAUUUUCAUUUGAGACCAAAUUUGAGGGAGAAACUAAGCAUCACAAUUUUUUCAAUCAUCAUAAUUCCGAUGAUUUGGGGUCGGCUAUCAUAAUAAGAUGUGGCAAAGUUUUAUGUUGGCUACCUACUUAAUGCAACCCACCUCCUUUCCUCGAGCCCAGGACAGGUUAAGGGAAAGUUUAAGGUCCUCACCUUUUUUCGAUCGUUUAAUUUUUUCUAUUUUAUUCUUUUUAUUGUAUGGAUUCUUCCAUGGCGCUCCCAGUUUGGAAACUUUUAGCAACCAACAAUCCCUAGUUCCUGCUCCUGCCUACCAUUGCACCGGCUGAUUCACCCAGUCCAUGGUGAACGAAUCACUCCCAUUUUGUCAUGGAAAAUUGUUUCAUGCGGGUUGGACCGCAUUUCUACAUAUGUGGUCCAGAGGUAUAAAGCAUCCUUCUUAAAGAUGGAUGUGCAAAUAGGUGGUCCAUCUAAAAACAAUUGAAACUAACGAUCCAAAUGUUUUCUUAAUAGAAUUAUUAUUUCUAAUUUUCAAAUUUUAUUUAUUUUUUCAUAUUCAUGAUCUUCAUGUUAGAGAUUACAUGUCGUUAAAAAUUAAGUCCAAAAAUCUAUCUCAAAAAUAGAUUUUUAAGCGGUGCCUCAUUUCUUCAUGGACUCAUAGAAACCGCCGGGUCCUUUUGUCAUUUAUGGCCCUUUUUGUUUUUUAAUUGUUUUUCCUUUCGUGGCAUCUCCUUUUUAGGAAUCUUAUGCGCGUGCGUGCAAUAUACAAUGGAUUGGCUAUUAAUCUUGACAAAGCAAACUUAUCUUUCUCAUGACAUAAUUGUCCAACAAAUCUUUCUUUUAGCUCUGUAUGUCAAACCAAUCUAUUUUUCUCUCUCCAUAUCAGUUGAACAACUCUAUAAUUGCCUUAUUAUUUCCCUUCUCUCCCUUUCUCUCCCCACCUCUCUCUCUCUCUCUCUCUCACUCUCUCUUCU